UACGGGGAGACCUAAAUCGUGACUCAAUUUACCCUUUUAUAGAGGGAAUACAAGCGUGCUAAGGCUUAGAAAAAGCCACACUCGUCUAUAUCCCAUAUUUAAGGGGACUCUCAAGCAAAUGAACCCUAUAACUAGCAUGAAAUGCAAAAAUCCUAAAAUGGAGGGAAAAGGGGGUCGAGGGGCAUGCAAAAUGAUAAAACUAAAAGAAUGCAUGACAUGUAAUGAACAUGCAAACAUGUACUAACGAGGGGAAAUCCCUAAGGGUCUAGCGUUGGACUAGCCCAUUCUAUGAAUUCCGACUAGCGUUGGACUAGUGGAAACGUACAUUCGUCCAUCACAUUCAUUCAUGACCAUGGAAAGCGAGUAGACAUGCCAAACACUUAUAAACACAUAGCACAUAACACUUAGCAUGCUCAACUAGAUGCAAGAACCUAAUUAAAGCAAGUAACACAUAACACAUAGGCAAUUAAAGCCCUAACUAUUACAUUUGCUAGCUAGGCACACGUCUUCGAUAGGUCUUCAUUGAAUGCUCCUCCAAGCCCUAUCUAUUACAAGCCAAGAGGUGUACACAUACCCCAUAAAGAAGAACUUAAAUAAAAGCAAAAGUAAAUGAAAUGAAAGAACUAAAGAAAGGCAAUGAAAGCAAAUAGUCAUGUAAUUUCCACGUAACACGUUGGAUCACAUAGAAGAGAUACAAAAAGGGAUAAAAGAAAAUAUACCGCCCCCUUUGAAUGGUGACCAAAUGAAAGAAAAAUGGCUUCAAAACAAUAAAAAGGUCAAGGUACCACUUUAAUUGAGAAAAAUUAAAAGAAAAUGGAAACAACCGUCAAAUUGAAUCACUCGAAGCAUUCCAAGGAAAGUAAACUACUCGUACUUAACCAAUUAAGACAAACAAAAACCCAAUUGGAAAAAAAUUAAAGAGGUCUAAAGGGCCAAUUUAUUACUAUUAUAAACACUAAGGAACUAAAAAAACAUAAAAUAAAAUUAAGAAUCUAAGGUGAAACUUACCAAAUCAAACUAGAAAAUUCACAAAAAGGUAAACGAGGAGCAAUUUACUAGUAGCUAAACAACCAAAUGCCAAAGAAUCCAAAAAAAAUCAAAUUAACUACAAGUCUAGGAAAAAGAAAUUAUUAGACCCUUCAAAUUCAUUCUACAAUCCCUUAAGUAUCUACCCAAAACAAAUCAAGAUGUAUUAAAGAGGAAAUGGCAUGUUAGGAGGACAAAAUUAAUUAAGUUUCCAAUUAAUUGGGCCAUGGAAGCAUUAGAUGGAAGCCAAGGGGUUGGAGUGCGAUUUUUGAAAGUCAUUUUCAUGCAAAAGCCAUGCAAUCACGUAGAAGAAACUUUCUCUGCAACAAAUUUCAUUUCCAGCCGUGGCUUCUUUCCAUUCUACCAUGCAAACACAAUCCAACAAACAAAAAAACUUGUAAGGAGAUCAAACAUUCUUCCCCCUCUUCGGAACGCAAAAAUCCAGAAAACAAGAAUAUUCAAAUGCUAAAACAAAAUCCAGCAACUUUGACUUGUUCUUCCUAUUUCAUGCUGCAAAAACUGAAAACUAGCAAGGUAGACAACUAAACCAGUUUUGGUGAAUUGCUGCAUUACCGAGUUGCUCAAAUGCACUCCUAGCACAAUUAAAAAUUCAGCCAAUCGAUCCAAGCUUCAACAUUAAAUCAAAGACAAGCGUAACUCAACAGGCCAACAACUCCAAAUACAAAUUCUGGCAGCCUCUCAUGCGAAGAAAAAUGAAAAAAAAAACUUUCUUAUAAUCUGCUGCAAAUUUGUAGCUUACUCUUUGUACAGACCAUCCAUGAGCUCAAAUCAAAACAUAAUGAGGCAAAUAUCGCAUGUUACCCACUAGUAUACCCCAAGACAUAAACCAUUUAACAUGCUCAAACAAGCAAAAUAUAGUUCGGUGACUGCUAAAAAAAACAAAGUGCAGCAGCAAUUUCCAGCCGCAAUCUUUCGCAUUUUUAUCAUGCAAACAAAUUCAUCAACCCAGAAAUUAUUGACCCAAUUUAAAACAUGGAAUUUUGGGUGCAAGAUUAAGAUGGCAAAUCUGGUUUUGAUCAUCAACAAAGGAAGGAAAUUCAUUAUCCAUCAAUAAUAAAAGAAGCAAAUCUGGCUUUGUGCACCUUCAGCCGCAGCUUUUCUUGCAUUUCAACAUACAAAUGUGUUCACCAUAUAUCAGAGUUUUAACUACCAAUCACCAACUAAACUUGUAACUUCAUUGUAGCAUUGAAACAAGAAAAUGGAGCUAAUCAUCAAAGGUAGAAAGAAAACUAAACAGCACAAGAAUGAAACAGAAAAAAACGCAGCAAGCUUUCUGCAAUUCGGCACUCUUUACAAAAUCCAGCUUUCAAACACAAUCAAAUCCAAACACAAGGCUUUAAACUAGGCAGCAAACCAUCAUCCAAACAAAUAGAAAAAAAAACUGAGCAAAAUCCAGUGCAAAUACAAAUAAAAUACGUUCAGCAAGUUGAAAAAUCUGGAACAUAUAAAACUGAUUUGGCAAGUUGAAAUGCAUUUUCCAGCAAGUACUUGGGCAUGAAUCCGAAUUUACCUCGGUUAAAUCAUUGUGUUAAGUACCCAAAACUAACAUGCAAGGCUACUUAAUGAAAUUACUAUCAUUUCUAGUUCAGAUCAAGUUCGGACAGCAACUAUAAACAUCCACAAAUCCAGAAAUUCUGUUCGCCAUCCUUGGAUGAACUUGCAUGUAGCCGUUCACUAUUUCAUUUUUUUUUAGCCGGACCAAUAAACUUCCUGCAAAGCUUAAUCAUCUAAUUUUAAUUAGUCAAACACCUAACCAAGUGAAAAUCAACCACUUUCCAGCAAAUUUCAUGCUAAAAUACCCAUGCAAUUUCCAAAACAACUUCAACGGCUAAACUGGAAAAAUUGUUUCAGCAAUCCAUCAACUUCCAUUAAAAUUUCCAGCCAUGCAACCGAAAUUCAGGCCACGUAGUUCACAUGCAACAUCAAAUAAGAAACUAUCUAUCAGGUUGAGUCCAAAAUUAAGCUCAGAUCAUCACAGCUAGCAAAUUAAAAACCGAAACUUCCAGCUCAAGCUCUCGGCAGCUUCACUUCCUUCUCAAACAGAUUUUUCUAUGAUUUAACCUAUCAUCUAACCACACAAUCCCACAUGCAUGCUUAUAGUCAGCUUCAUCAACCCAUAAACAACUCAUCUAAGUUCAGAAAUUACCUUAGCUUGAAGCCUAAAACACACGACUAGCAGCUGCAAAUCCUCCACUCUCGGCUGUCCAGAAUUGCAGUCCGAAACUCUCCCUCUCCCUGGCUCAAACUUGCGGCUGGAUUGGAGGAAGUUUGACUCUCGGUUCUCUCUCUCCCUCUCUCGGUUGGUCUUGAAGUGAGGCUGGAAGAUAAGCUAAGUCCUCACCUCUCUCUCUCUCGUCGUUAUUUCCAAAGAAGCUGAUCACUUCACAGCUCCCGGCAUAGGAACAAUUGAAAAAAUAAAAUGUUAUGGUGAGUGAUAAUGAUUGUAGUGAACUGGCAAUGAUAUAGCGUAGUGGGAUGUAUAUAUUGAGGUAUUGGGAGUGGAGUGGAGUGGAGUGGAGUCGGCAAUAACAAUGGAAGGUGCUAGGUUGAGAAGUGGAAAAUGGAGCCGGCAGAAAUAGAAUUGUGAUUUUUUGAUUUUUUUUUGAUUUAUUGAAUAGAAACUAAAUCUAAAUAAACUAGAAUCCACAAAGCACAAUUUUCCAUUUUUCAUCAAUUUCCUCUUUUCUUUUCUUUUCUUUUUUCACAAAUUUUACGUUAAAACUUAAAACUAAAACUAAAACUAAAACGUGAACAAAAUUAAUAUGACAAAUAAUUAGCAAAUAAAAGACAAAUAAAAAGGUAACAACUAAAAUGCAGACAAUCUAAAACAAAAUCAUGAAUUAGAUGCAACAUACAAAUUAUUUAAAAAUUUGGUGUCUACAUAGAUAUUUUGAAUUGUAUAUUUUAAACAUUUUGAGAAAUUUUUUGAGAUUAUUGUAAUUAAAGUUGUUAAAAAACUUAUAGAAGAAAAACUUAACAAAAAACUCCUUUAUCAAACAAGCCCUUAGUGUAGAAUUUGUAGAAAAACUCACUCCUUUGUCAUCUCUUUUCCCCCAAUAGCCACCAAUCCGUAGGGGUGAGCAAAUUCGGUACGUACCAAAUCCACCGAAUUCUAAUAUGGUAUGAAAUAGGUAGUGAGAUUAUGAAUUUGGUAAUAACUAAUUUCAUAUUCAAAUUCGGUAAAAUGAAAUAGGGUACCGCAUUACCGCAUUCGAAUACCAAAUUAGUUUAUAAAAUUAUAUAAUAUACAGAUACAGAUAAAUGCUAUUUAGUAUUAGUAUAUACUACUAAUAUAUUAUUAUAUUAUAUAGGUAAAUGCUAUUAAUAAUAGUUAGUAUGUGGUAUUAUCAUGCACUUAUAAUAAUAAUAAUAAUAUAUAAUAAUGUACAAUAUAUUAUUUUAGUAUUUGUUAAUUGUUAUAUGACUAUAAUAAUACAAAUAUAUAGUAAUACAUAACAAUAUAACAUAACUAUAAUACUUAUUAUUUUAUACACGAGUAACAUGACUAGAAUUAGAUAAUAAUUAAUACAUAUAUGUAUAAUACUAAAUAUUAAACAAUAAACAUAAUUAGUAAUUAGAAUUUAGAUAUUGGUAAUUUGAUACAUCAUUCAUGUUUGAAUUAUUGAAUAUUUGAAUAUUAACUUGUAACUUGCAAGUAUUAAUGUGCUCUAAAUUUACAUUACAUAUAUUAACAUAAAAAUUCAUAUUCUCUAUUCACCAAUCUUAAGGUUUUAAGUAUAGACAAGACAACUAAACAAUGUAAGUGAAUACAUAUGAAUUGCAAAUUAAUGUAGUAGUGUAUUGACUUUCACAAUAACAUAUGUAAGUAAAUAAGUUUUAUUUUGAUUUGAAAUAAAUUAUAAGUUUGUAACUAAUAUAACUUAUCACUAAUCAUUGUAAUUUGUAAGUUUGUAACUAAUAUUACUUAUUAUUAAUUAUUGUAAAUUAUAAAUUCAUAAAUUAUCACUAAUCAUUGUAUAAUCUAAGGUUUAUUCUAGUUUAAAUUAAUCACUUUUUAUGUGUUCUUUAAAUCAUAGACUAAGGAUUCUAGGUAUAAGUGAUCAAAUAAAUGUCAAUUAAAUUAAACCACAAAAUGAUUAGAACAUAAAUAAUGUGUUAAAUUAUGAAUAAAUUGGGGAUCAAAUCAGUAAUAAUUUUUUAAAAAAUCAGUUUUUUUUUAUAAAUGAAUUCGGUUAACCGAAUUCAUUACCAUUUUCGAAUUCGAAAUCAGUUGCGAAAUGAAUUCGGUUAUAGUCAAUUCGAAAUUGAAAGCCCUUUAAAUUUCUAUAAGUCAAAUAACCGAAUUCAUCGAAUUCAACUAACCAAAUUAUCGAAUUUGUACUGUUUGUUCACCCCUAUCCUAUCAAUCUGACCUGGUCCAUUCUUUUUCCCACCCAAUCUUUUAGCCAUUUAAACUCUAAAAACUUUUUCCCAAAAAUUCUCUCUUAGCUUCAGAUUUUUAGAAACCCGGCUCCCAUCCAAAAAACAAGAGACAAAACCGAAAGAAAAAUUUCACCCGGAUCAUUAGCCAUUUAAACUGUCAAAACAUUUUCCUAAAAAUUCUCUCUUAACUUCACAGAUUUUUAGAAACCGGAUCCCAUCCAAAAACCAAGCGAGAAAACCGAGAGAAAAAGAUAAGAAAACAUAAAAAAAAAGGAAAAGAAGAGCAAAAGACAGAGGGCGGAGGAAGUUGCCGCCAUCGCCGUCAUUGUCGCCGCAAACCCAACCACCACCACGACCGUGGAAUCUGCUUGAAGGCACUGUAAAAAUUCCUCAACUCUCUUUGCUUCUACCAUGUUGUUUUGUGAAAAUGCUACGUCAUGUGUCUUCUUGCUCUUAAAUUUCUGAAGUUGGUAUUUUUUGAGAUCUGAAUUUCUUGUGACUGGGGUUGGACUAAAUCUUAUUUUCCUGCCAAAAUACGGGCUGGAUUAGUUCCUGAUAUAUUAGAAUAUGUUGAACUUCUGUUAUGUCUAUAAUCUGUUUCUGGAAAUGCUUAAGUGAAAAUUUGAGCUAAAGGUAUGAAUUUCCUGAAUUUGGAGAGGAUGAUUCCACCAGUCCAAAGCUGGUCGGAGUUUGGGAUUUCACCGUCUGAGAUUUCGCCGGUGAGCAGACCUCACCAACCUACAGUAGUAGGAGUGUAAACGAGUGUAAUUUGCUUUCCUCAUUGGGCCAACAAUUAUAGUCAUUAAUUAUCGUUUUCUUUUCAUGCCCUGAAAUCGGGCACAACAUAACUGUACCUGCCCUUUGGUAUUCUCACUCGUUAUUGUUUCAGGAAAUCUUUAGUGGGUAGACCUUUGUUUUCCAAUUUUUUUUUUUCGUUUUACUUCGCCUGCUUGCUACAUAUAUGAUGCUUGUAUUGGUUGGGCUUCAGAUCUUGGAGUAAAAGUAUAGAGAUUUGAUUUAAUUGUCUUUGACUGCAAUUUCUGAUCUUGCUCCGUCGAAGUUAUUUUGUUAUUUUUGGUUGGUUAUUGAAUGAUUGAAGGCCUAUCUAUGAUCUAAGAGUGGUUGGAAGCUAAAUUUAUAUGCAAUCUGUAUGAAAACUUAUAGUAUUGAUUCUUGUAGCCGCCUGUACAAGUUCAUGUGGAAAUGGAGUUUCCUUCAUUAUUGAAUUAACUUCUUUAAAGCUCGCGUUUUGCUACAUUUUGGAUAUGAUCUGCAUCCCUUCUUUCCGCUUUUUAGUGCUACACUUCACUAUAUACUAAUGGUUAUUGUGUUUAGUUGAAUUUUAAUGCAAAUUAUUGAUGAAUUUUAUGAUUGUCAGUAUGGAUUUUUGGCAUUGAAAGUGAUAUAACAUGUUCUUAAUUUUGGCUACAAUCAGGGAGCUUUGAUGGAGGGAUUAAUUAGUGCACAAUUGAACCCAAUUCACACCUAUUCUACACAAGAAAGUUUUGUUUUUUCCCCCACAUUUUCUCUAAGGAUAAAGACAAUUGGUUUUGGUAAUAAAUUUAAGGCAAUGAGAAAUCUUAAAUCAUACACUUCAAUCAAUGCUUCGGUUCAGCCAUUGGAGGCCUCAAAAGAGGACCAAUUUAACAAAGCAUUGCCGUCAAAAGGUAAUUUUCAAGGUCUGAGAAAAACUUUAUUUCUUGUAUGUAAUGUAUAAAAUAUAAUGACAAAUUAGAAUUAAUACUAUGUACGAAUGAAGACAAGGAUGAGUUUUAAUUGGUGAUAUGUCUAAUUGAUGUAUCCUUUAAAUUUGUAAGAGGUCCUUGAGUUGUGGCGCAAUGCUGAUGCUGUAUGCUUUGACGUGGAUAGUACAGUAUGCCUAGAUGAGGGCAUUGAUGAACUUGCUGAGUUUUGCGGAGCUGGAAAGGCUGUUGCAGAAUGGACUGCUAGGUGAUAUGCCUUCGAUAGACAUUUUUUUAGAUGUGCAUAGAAUUGAGUUUUUGAUCUGAUUAUGUGCUAAUUACUAGGGCAAUGAGUGGUUCUAUUCCUUUUGAGGAUGCCUUGGCUGCAAGAUUGUCUCUGUUUAAUCCUUCAAUAGCACAAGUCCAAGAUUUCCUUGAAAAGAGACCUCCAAGGUAAGAAACUAUAUUCAGUAGCGAGAAGUUUAUGCUAGAAUUGCUUCAGUUCUUUUGACAGUUAAUGAGGCCUAUGUGCAUCAUCUACUAUCUUUAACAAUUCAAUGUAAGUUCCAAAUGCUUUGGACAUCAUCACGUGUAGAGAAGUGAAAUACAGACAUAAACCUCCAAAAAAAGACACUGUGCUUGUUUUAUCUCUCAAUCUUGUGCACAGUCAAUCAGUUUUCAUCAUUACUACAGUGCAAUUUUGUAAACUAAAAUGGUGAAGUUUAGUUGUGAAUGACUUGACUACAACCAUGUAAAGUUGCAUCUUGUAGUUGUUUCAAUUUGGAUUACGAUUAUGAGUUACACAUCUUUGGCAUGCAAAAUUUGCAUUUUAACAAGAUCUAGUAUUAGGAUGUGCAUAUCAGACCUUUCAGAAUGCCUGCCAUCUUGAAGGUGUGCUCUUCUGAUUGCACACAAAACCCUGAUUCAAGUGAAAUAAUUAAGAAACAAUUAGGUUUAUGCAACUACUCUAUUUGGACAAUGUCUUGUCUUUUGAGUGUUUGCAUCUGCCGUUGUUUUGUAUAUAAUAUGCAGUAUGUAUUGUUAUAUAGCAUGGAACUUUACACGAAACUAAACCAUUUAGUGUUUUUCAAGCCAUAGCUGAUCUGUAUUUUCCAAGUAAUGAAAAUGUCUGGGUUAAUUGAUUUACUUGGUUUGCAGAAUUUCUCGUGGGAUUGAUGAGUUAGUCAAGAAGAUGAAGGCUAGAAACACUGAUGUUUAUCUGAUCUCUGGAGGAUUUCGCCAAAUGAUCAAUGUAUAUGCUUCUCUAUGAGUGGCUUUUGAUAUAUCUUUUCUUCUUCAUAUCCAGAUAACAAUUGAGGCUGGGAGUCCUUGGAUCAAUUUUCCAUUGUGUCUAGAUGCCCAUUAGCAUACUAUAGUCAUUAUUGAUGUUGAUUAAAUAUUCUCUGAAUUGAUGGUUCAAAUAUUGGCUAAAAAAUUGAGGUUCAGUAACCUGAUUUUUAUGCUACACUGCUUCCAAGUUGAUACUUUUCCUGCAUCAAUAUUACCUGUUUUAACAGUUCCUUGCUUUGAAUCCCUAAAAGAAUCACACAUGUUUCAUAUGGAAGCAUACUUUGUGCUUGAAACUGUGUCAAAGUUCUAACUGCUACAGUUUAACAGCCUGUUGCAUCAAUUCUUGGUAUUCCCGUUGACCACAUUUUUGCCAAUCAACUUCUUUUCGGAAGUGCUGGAGAGUUUUUGGGGUUUGAUACAGAUGAGCCAACGUCUAGGAGUGGAGGAAAAGCUAUUGCUGUUCAGCAGAUAAGGAAGGUAAGUUGAACUCUUAGUAGUUGUUUGUUGUGUAUUGGUUUUUAGAAUAUUGACCAAAUACUUGAUAAUGUUAUCAGGCUAAUGGAUAUAAAUCGCUGGUCAUGAUUGGAGAUGGUGCAACUGAUCUUGAGGUAAAAAAGUGUUCAUCUUGUCUAGUUUGGUGACCACUUCAUCUACGGAAUACAACCAACCCAAGGAAAAAAAAAUCAAGAAGUAAAUCCCAACGAGAGCUUUUUCUACUACAUGUUAACUUGAGUUUAACAGGGUCCAAUAUCUAGAAUCUAAUAACUGACUUUAUCUAAAGUCUGCAUACAGCAAUAGCUGGACAUAAAGAUUUAGACCUCAAACUUGGUAAAUCCAUGGAGGAAUUGAUUCCAUACAUUGACUUUAAUUGCUUCAAAGUAGACUAUAGUGGCUAUCUAAAAACCUGUUCAAGCUUCAUACACUAUUAAUAUCAUUCUAAGUUUUGGCCCAAAAAUGCAUCUAAAUUGAAUAAAUGAAGAGCUUUUACUCUCAUGUUGCUCGCAGAAUUUAUACUCUUUCUACUUGUAGGCUCGCAAACCAGGAGGUGCCGACUUAUUUAUAUGCUAUGCUGGGGUUCAGCUCCGAGAAACUGUUGCAGCUAAAGCUGAUUGGCUGGUGUUCAAUUUUAAGGACUUGAUUGAUAGCUUGGAGUAGCAUGCACCCAUUUUUCUUGAUUGAUACCUUUUUUCUGUUUCCUUUUGGGUGGUGGUUCUCUUUCUUUACCUUUACUAUUAUUGAUUUUUUGGGGGUACUAGAGUUCUAUGGGUUAUAACUACCAUGCUUCCAAAAAUCUUCUGCAUCAGUAUAUGUAUUCUUUGACAAACAUUUUAUGUAUGUAAUUUGUGAAAAUGACAGUCCUCAGGCACUUGCCCUCAAUAAGCAACUUGAAAGCCUUGUUGAUGUCAUCAAGUUUGACCUCAUGAGUGACAAACAAAUCCAGCUGAAGUUCACGGAUGUGUGUUCAAAGAUUUAAGCAAAAUCUGGGAGAGAUUCAUGUCUUUGAUGUUUGUCAUUUUGGAACAGGUGAAAAACAACAAUGUGGUAAAAGCCUUGCAAAUCUACAGUACAUUAUCCAGGUAACGUUUUGCAAGCAUUGGGAAUCAAGAUUUGGCUUGAGACCACCCUAUUGGACUCCUGUGACGGUUUUCCUGCUAUGAGCGCUCACCAGGUAAUUGAGGAUCAGCUGCGAAUCUGGCUUCACUCUUAAUACAACCGUCUUGCCCAUUCCUGAUGAUAGAUUGUACAUAGAAUCUCAUUUAGUAGCAGCUAACAGCAAUGAAAUAACUGAAAAACUCGAACUAGCUUAGUACUGGUAGUCAAAUCACAAAUGUUUAAACCAUGAAAGCAUACUCUUUAAUCACAAAAGAUAGAGUGGACCUAUGUUAGCUGAUUAAGAAUACUGUUAUAGUACUUAAAUCAUCAAAUCAUUAUAUCACCAUAUUCUCUCCUCCAUUAAUUCUAAUACAAAUCUUCCAAGUGUUACUUUGGCUGAUAGAUCAAGUACUUUGAUUGUGGUUUUUGGUGUAACUAUUCCUACAACCUCUAUUUCUGUAUACUCAGUCUUACACUUGUCUAAUUUUUCUUUUAAUCAACUCUCAGUCAAUAAAAUUACAAGAGCUCUUAAGUGCUUUGUCUUAUCCUUCUCUGAAUAUUGUAUUUAUUAGGAUCGGAAAAUUUUGGUAGAGGAUGUGAGUUUGGUAGCCUUUAUAGACUUGAAACUUUGAAAAUGUCAAAACCUGUUACAUGUUUGUUCAUCAUGACACCUCUUGAAGUUUACUGUCAUUUGGGUGAUCUAUCUCUACCAACUUUGAAGAAAUUGUUUUCAAAUUUUCAAGAUUUAUAUAGUGAGAUACGUCAAUUUGUGAAGUAUCUCUGUUUGCCUUAUUUGCCUAGGUCAAUAAAUAGGUUGCAUACCCUUUUGAAUUAGUGAACUCUAAUAUUUGGGAUUAUUGUCCAAUAGCAUCUAAGUCUAGUUUUAAAUAUUGUGUCACUUUAAUUGAUGAUUACUCUCGUAUUACUUGAUUAUAUUUAAUGAAAAUUCAUUUAGAUUUAUCCAAUGUUUGUUGUUCCAUACUGAAAUAAGAACACAAUGUAAUAUGUCUAUGCGCAUUUAGCAAGUUGAUAAUAAAAGAAUACUUUUAUAAGCUUUUUAAUCUAUAUAAGUAAGAAAAUGGAAUUCUAAACCAAUAUUCAUGUCUUGAUAUAACACCAUAAAAUGCUGUUAUUAAAAAUAAAUAGGCACUUACUAAAAAUUGCUAGAGCCAAGUUAUUUCACAUUUUCACCUAAACGUUCCUAACUAGAUUUGGGCAGAUGCUACUUGACCAACUUGCUUUUUAAUUGAUUUCAUGAAUCUGUACUUGCUAGUGAGAUAUCGUAUUCAGUUUUGCUUCCACCUAAACGUUCCUAUAUAGAUUUCGGCAGAUCUUAUUUCACCAACUUACUUUUUAAUUAAUUUCACGAAUCUGUACUUGUUAUUGAGAUAUCGUAUUCAGUUUUGCUUUCGAACCUAAUCUUUAUUCCAUUCUGAGUCGUGUAUAUUUUGAUGUCUUUGUUUUGUUCAUGACAUCCAUUCCAAGCGUCUAAAUUAAGUGAAUGUACUACUUGUUUUGUUCAUGACAUCCGUCCCCAAGCGUCUCAAUUAAAUCCAAGUUCCCUAGUACUCUUAUACUAGUGUGAAUAACCAUGCUACGCAUGGUGCUAAUUAGGGGUGCAAACAAAUCAAGACAAAUUGAGUUUUGAUCCAAUUGGGUCGAAUCUCAACCUAGGUUUAUGAACCUCAAAUUCGAGUUCGACCUUGACAAACUCAAAAUAUAAAACUCGAGCUCGAACUCAACUCAAAUUGAGUUUGAACUUGAGCUUAAAAAAUAAAAAGAUAAUUAUUUUAUUUAAAAAAAAUAAUAAAUAAUAAUUUUUCUUAACAAAUAAUAAAAUAUUAGGGAUAUAUAUGUAAUUUUACUAUUAAAAUAAUAUAUAUAUAUAUAUAUAUAUAUAAUUGAACUCGAGUUGGUUUGCUAGUUAACGAAUUUAGUAUUUUUGAAUUCGAGUUUGAAUUUGACUUGGUUAGUUCGAGCUCGAACUUGAACCACUCGCGAUUGAUUUGAUUCGUUUGCACCUCUAAUGCUGACAUUAUUGAAAGAAAUAAAAAGAGAGGUUGGAUUAAAAAAAGUACAAUUAAUCAAAAUCUAAGAUUUGUCUAGCAUUAGUUUAAAGUAUGAUAAAAUGUGUAUAUCAUUCAAGAACUAUGUUUUUGCAAAAGAUGAAUCCUGAAAUAAUAAUAAAAAUUUAUAUUAGAAAAUGAAUGACAUAUGGAAAUGAAUGUAAUCACAUGUUUUAUUGAUAUCAAAAUGAAAUACUUAUAAACAUUAUGCAUUCGAUUUGAUAAUCUUGUAUGAAAGUGUAAACAAAUUUCACACCAAUUAACUUUUAGCUCGAAGGGUAAUAUUGGUGGUUUAAUUGACACUAUUGAAUUUUUGUGGAGUUCAUACUACAAAAGAAUGUUCAGCGAGACUUGUUUUUCUUGGAAGUGAACUUGCUACACAUUUUGAAGUAUUUCAGUGGGGUCACUAUGGUGUAUACUUCGUUUUGUAAUUAGUUGUUUUCUCCUUUGUAAUAUUGCAAGUUUGGAAUUGAGACGUCAUUGAAAUGCUUGUAGAUGGACUUCGUCAAUGGUGAAAGUAAAACACGUAGUCUUGUUUUUUUCUUUUUCUUCUCACUGUAUUUAGUUUGUGUAGAUGACAAAUAAAAAUGGAUUAGUGGUCGUCAGUCUUGUGAAUAAUUAUGAGAAUAAAUUACGUUAUGACAUUAAGAUGCGUAAAAUUAUGAAAAUUAUAGGGAUUGUAAUUCAAAUGGGCUCCUAAAUUUUGGAUAUAUAAUUUUCAUAGUGGUGAGGUUUUUAAAUUAUCAGUUAGUUAUUAUUAUUAGUCGUGUGUGUAGUGUUAGACGGGAUUUGGAAUUUGAAGAUGUGAUUUUGCAGGGUGAUUAUUAUCCGUUAGUUUGCAUAGGUGAUUAUUAUUCUUUACUUAAAAUUUUGGACUUUUGAUUUUGUGGGUUAGUGGGUCAUUAGUUAAUUAAAAUUUUGGAAUUUUGAUUUUGUAGAUUAAUGGAUCAUGUGAAUUGGAAAGUGGAAAGUGAUAAGGAGACGCAAUAAGGAUUAUUGAAUCAAAAUAAAUCUAAAAUUAUAGUAAAAAGGAAAUUCAAAUUGAAAUUAAAAUUUUUGACGCUUAUGAAGGAUCCUCGUAAAAAACCUGCUUUCUAAUACAUAUAAACUAGUGUGAUUAUCCAUACUAUGCAUGGUGCUGGCAUUAUUGAAAGAAAUUAAAAGAGAUGAUGAAUUAAAAAAAAGUAAAAAAAAUGCUAUCAACAUAAUCAAAAUCUAAGAUUUGUAUAACAAUAGUUCAAAAUAUGAUAAAAUGUGUACAUCAUUUAAGAAUUGCGUUUUGUGGAAGAUAGAUCUUGAAAUAAUAAUAGAAAUUUAUAUUAGAAAUUGAAUGAUAUGGAUAGAAAUGAAUGUAAUUUCAUGUUUUAUUUGAUUUCAAAAUAAAAUAUUUAUAAACAUUAUGCAUUCGAUUUGAUAAUUUUAUACGAAGGUGCGAAUUUUUUUCACACCAAUCAACCUUUAGUAUAAAAUUUAAUAUUGGUGGUUUAAUUGACACUAUUGAAUUUUUGUGGAGUUCAUAUCACAAAAGAAUGUUCAAUGAGAUUUGUCUUUCUUGAAAGUGAACUUGUUGAACCUAAUUUUGAAAUAUUUCAGUAAGAUUAUUACAAUAAAAGGUUUCGUUUUGUGAUUAGUUGUUUUCUCCUUUGCUUUGCAAAUUUGAAAUUGAGACAUAGUUAAAAUACUUGUAGGAUGAUACACAGUCUUUUUUUUUUCUUUCACUAUAUUUGGUUUGUGUAGAUGACAAAUAAAAAUGAAUUAAUAUUGAUAGUUUAAUUGACUGUUGAAUUUUAUAGAAUUCAUACUACAAAAGAAUGUUCGGUGACAUUUGUUUUUCUAUGCGUGUGAAGGCUCCUUGUAAGAAAUCUGCCUUCAAAUGUAUAUGUAUAAAUAUAGAUAAAGACUGUAGGGUUAGUCGCGCACACUCCGCUUGCUAGUGCUAGACGGAUUUGGGGCAGGGAUGGUCAUCAGGUCGACCGUCCCUGAGCAGUCCUCUCACAAAAGAAAAUGAGAGGAUUGCAAUGGACCACGUAUAUUGGGAGCAGCAGCAAAGGAAAACGACAUAGUUUCACUAAGUGGGCAGAAUAAAAAAAGUUAAAAAUGUAUUGAAACUCUAACGGUGUCCAUUUGGGGCAAAUGGACUGAUUCAAAAUUCAAAUAUCAAAUGCAAAAUUUUGAAUCAACCACAUAAAAUGAAAAGAAAAAAGUUGGGAAAGCAUGGAUUCAUUCUUUGUACACCAAAAUAAGUCUUGCUAUCUCUACGGAUAUUUGCCAAAAAUAAUUGAGAGAUAAAAUGCAAACAUUGAAGUGGGAGGAGAAAUUUAGGGCACGUUUAUGUGAAGAAAAAAGGAGGCCAAAUCUAUUGAGAGGAAGCCAAGCUCGUGAGGCAUUUUGAGUGAAGAUGGAAGGACCAAUUUAUCUUUGUAGACAUCUUUGGAAGGGAAUGCAACAAUUGAAUGAGGUUAAAAAUUGUUAGGACAAUUUCUCUACAUUCUUUCCAGGGCAGGCAGCAAAGUAGAAGGGAAUAGAGGAAAUACAUUUACAGCAGUCUCCAGUUUUGUUGAACAACUGAGUAACAGCAAUUGUGCCAUCCAACGUUGGUGAAACAUAAUGCCCCAAUUCGACGAAGGUAAUGUCACUGAACUAUUUCCUGAACUAUAUCUAAUGAUUUGUCACCUAAGGUAUAUAGAUAUAGUAAGAGCCAACUUGGGGGAGGUAUAUACAAGGAACUUAUGCAUGCCAAGUGUUUGUAAAUUUGACUUAAUAGACGAAUUAAAUGAUUUGGAAAGUUUAUCAGCAUAUAAAAUAACAAGAAGAGUAUGAAGGUAAUCAUUACUUGCUUUUUUCAUUCUUGUUGUAGGAUAGCAGUGAUACCAUACAGUUUAGAAUGUAUUACUGGCUGUGGAUGGGCGUUCACAUCAUAGUAAACAAACACAUACAAAGAUAAAAUAUAAGUAAAGUGAGUCAUUGUAAAUUACACGAAUGAAAUAAGGAGUACAACAAAAUUCUACCAGGAUUACAAGGUAUUUGAGUGAUUGUGGUUAGUUAUACUUUUUGAUAGCAAUUUUUUUUUUUUGAGAUAAAUUACUGAUAGUUGAGAAAUACUUUCAUGUAUCUCUAAAGAAGGAUUCUUCUAAAAUUAUGAGAUAUUUGAGUGAUUAUGGCUAACUAUACUUCUUGAUAUCAAAUAUAUUUUAAGAUAAACUGCUGAUAGUUGAGGAUGCAGGACCUGGACGGUUGCCAGUAACAACUGUUUGGAAUGAUGUAAUAUUUUUUGGACAAUGCGUAACUUUAUAUGAACUACUUGUAAAAUUUAACAACAGAGAUGAAUUAUUACAUAUGAGAUCCACAUGAACAGUAACACAAUAUCACACCUCUGUUGUAAGAAUGUACAAGAAAUUUACAUAGAAUUACAAAAUAUUCAAAAGAAGUUACAUUGUUCAAGAACGGUUGAACUGGCAACCGUCCUUGCCCCGUGUCCGAUAGUUAAUAAAUACUCUCAUGAAUCUUUAAUUAAGUGGGUUUUAAUAUGGUUUGACAUCUAUAUACGUAGAGAAUCGUAUUUGAGUGGAAAAUAAUAAAAAAAAGGAAUAGUGGGUUGUAUGCGAUAAAAAUUUCAAGUCUGCAAAACGACAAGGAAAAGAAAUACACGACAAAUAUGUAAUAUAUAAAUUUAGAAAAAUGUGUGGGUACAAUCUCUGGAAGUUUCUCGAACUUAUGGAGAGUUUCCUUCGAUUCUUCUCCUCGAACACCAAUCCAAGGGCUUCGCAGCUUGUUCUCGGAUCAACCACCGAUUCUUUCAAAUCUUGAUAUGGAAGAUUUGAAGAACUUGAGAAUAUUUGAAGGCUCAAGUCUUGAUAUGCGGAAGACUUGAGGAGCUUUGAGACCCAGACCUUCGUAGCUUGGAGCUUCAAUACUUGAGUGUAUGAGAUGCCUCUUGAUAUCUCUGUGUCUCUAUCUGUGUUUUUGAUUUGGUUGAGAGACCUCUAUUUAUAGCUGUAACAAGGGGUAGAGGUUGAAGACCUGUGUACCACUUUACUUGCAAGACGUGCAAUCAUAUUAGGACUGUGCCAGUUAAAUAUUAUCUCUUCAUUUUAUAUUUAUCAAUAAAGAGAUAGAUAAUUUCUCGAUUGGCCAAGCCUGUGGGGACAAGUGACGUGGCGCCGUCUGAUUGGACAGACCAUUGCAGUCUAUAAGAGAUAUAUAUGGAUCAAACGACUCUAAAUAUUAUCUCUUUAAUAAGAAAUAAAUAUUUAAAUGUCUAUACAGUAGACAUAUGAUAUGAUAUGAUUUGGUUGGUGGAGAUAUCCCUACAAUUUGAAUAACUUUAGAACACCUCACCUUGACACGUGGAAAAAUAUAAUUGGCCAUUUAAUAACCAAUUUUUCCAAGUGUACAUGCCAUAUGGCAAUAUCCGAUUGGACAAAAAUAUUUUAUAGACCAAUGAUAAUUUUUUUAAAAUUUCAUCGUCUACAAAUGCCCCCUCAAAACUUGUUUGCGAAAGGUACAACUUGAACGGACAAGUUUUGACUUUCUUUAAUUCCCCUAAGUUCCUUUCUUGCCAAAUUGGAAUUCGACACUUUGUGAAUCAAGUCACCUAAGUAGGAAGCCAGCCGCAUAAGUGAUUAAUCAAUGACCAAAUAGGCACAAAGACUUUCAAUGACCAAAUAGGCACAGAAGUGAUUAAUCAAACUUCAUAGUAUUCAAUCUCGUGAGUGAUUGAUCAAGCACUAGUGCACUAGUGUACCUUACAUGUAAGACACCUUUUCAUUGGCCUAAGGAGUUUCCAACUCCAAUUAUAAGACAAGCGCAUUGUUCCUUGAUCAAUCAUGAAUUCCACCGCUUCACAUGGCUCAAGGUCCGAACCAGUCAGCUUCUUGUCGGAAUCCUAGGAUUUGUAUCCUUGAUGAACUUAAACAUUUGAGUUCCCUUUUUUCCCUUCCCUUUUUUUUUGUGAUAAAGCCGAAGCUUGAAGAGUAAAACUUGGAUGAACAAGUUUCGAUUUCACAAUUAAUUUGUUUAAGUGAAAUACGUUGAUAUUCUCCCUUCAUUUGCCACUUAAGGAAACCGGUCCCUAAAAAAAAAAAAUAAUAAAAUUGAUGGCCAUCAACUUCAAUUAUGACCAUUUGUCCUCAAGAAAGCCCAAUACAUGCAUUUGUGGAAUAUUGCAUAUUGCUUGCUUAACCAUUCACGUGCAAGGCAUUUCAAAAAUGAAAUCAUAGGAAUCAAUUGGUCUUCCAUGCAUUCUGCUUACCAAUCACACACGGAAAUCAUUGGAAUCCAAUUGAUCAUAGAAAUCAUAGGAACCCAGGGAACUCCACCGCUUCCAAACUUCAAGACCACUUAUCCCUGUCGGCCUCGGGAACUUGAGCGGCAAAUCAUAAGAAAAUUCCUCUAAUAUGACUAGGACUCUUGAAUCAACAACUUCCGUUCCUUGUUAGACUCAAAGUCCAAACGAUCUAGAAGUCCGAAUACCAACUGCAAUGGAGCCUAUCACCGGCGCGGAGCCAAUCUCCUCAAAACUCAAAAGACUUCGCGAGGAUUUGUUUUUCUUCGACCACAAGACUUUCAACUGAUAUAGAGGCCUAAUUCUAUUCAAACUAAAGCUACGGUCCUGCUUAUUUUUCCUAGGCUUUAGGAUCCCUUCUUCACUAUAUAUAGCUAAGUCCGGCCGCCAGUUCCUUAAUAACAGAGAAGCUGAACAAGUUUUAUUCUUUGCUUCAUCGGAUUAUCGUCAGUGUGGCUGUUGCUAUUACUGCAGUUGCUUGUUUGUUCUUCAUAACACGACUGCCGCUGCUUAGUACCAACCAUUGUUGCUACUACCAAAUUGGCGCCUACCCACCAUUGUAUUCUGACGACACCGCCUUCUGUCUACCAGGUACCCAAAGCCCUGCUUCUCGUACUUUAUUGUUUGAAAGAAACUUUAGCAACGGCUCUUGCAUGCUUAUUUUGAUUCACCCUUGGUGACUCAAAGGUGAUUGGUACUUGAAAUUUGCAUCUUAUGCAUGUUACGUGCUGAACUAGUAGGAUAACAUAGCCCUCUAGCUAUCUUGCAGCCCGGUUCCAAUUUAUUUCAAGUCCAAUAUUUAGCAUCCUAUUUGAUCUGCUCGUUUCUCCAUUGCUCAUUGAGAAUUUGGUUCCAACGUUGUGCACUUGUUCCUUCAUGUAGUCUUCUUGAUAAACACCUUUGCCGAGGCACUAGCUGAACAUGUAUCCUCCUCUUUAUUGACUUUGCACGGAGUUUCCCACCGCAAGAAUUGAUUAUAUUAUGGCCGCCAUGUCUUGAACUUGUGGGCAACGCACUGUUGUUGAACCACGAGUAUCUCUACCACCUUGCAUUGGAAUCCUGGCGCUCUAUAAUUGUCUAAUAGAUCAAAGUGAUUUUUUUUUUUUUUUAGAGUCUCACCCUAAAAUUGAAUAACACGUUAGCCACCGUAAUUGCAUACACGAUUCCUUACAAUUAUGACUCCACUGAUUCAUGUUAUCGCUCUUCUUGAUAUCCGAAGUCGUACGGCUAUCUUGCCACAAUUUUAACAUUUUUAUUGAUCAUUUAUCGGCGUACCAUCUUGCCUUUAUUGUCGGCUUUGCUGUCCUUUGACCAAUAGAGACAAUUGGAAGCUGGUUAUCACCUUUGCCGCACCGCAAGCAUCAAUCAUCAUCCAUCGAUUGCACUCCAAUAAUUUUCUUUUCGCUCAACAGGUACUUGAAGCCCCCCCUCUUUUUACUCACAAUAUUUAACUGUUACGAAAAGUUUCGGUCAAUUGAAAAACUUAGAGCCUCACGUCCUUACCAAAUAAAUUCUCGAAAUAUUACUUGAGAAUGAAGCUUGGGUCUCGACUGGAAGAUUGAAAUUAACCAAAUGAUGAUCGGCUCAAAAUAUUAUUUUAGGUGCCUUUUGAAUAUUAUUCGAAAUCAUGCAUGCCCUUUAAAUAUUAUUUGAGAAUGAAGAUUGACUCAAAAUAUUAUUUGAGCUAUCCCUUAGGGCUGGAAAUUUUAUCUCAACUUCCACACCACUUAUUAUUUUUUUUUUUGCAUCCCAAAUAUUUCUAUCAUACAUGAUUUUGAUCUUAGCUUUAUUGACUUGCUUCUUUGUAGAGAACUAAAACCGUGCUUGAAGAACAGGUUUAAGCAAUUUUGGGGACUUGAGAAAAGGCAAGGAAAUUCCAAUUACCAAAAAUUUGUAGGAAUUUCCCCUCAUCCUCUAAUAUUUGGUAAAAUUUCAGCAAGCAUGCAAAUUAAGGAUUACGCCGUGCCACUGCCGCAUAUUUCACUGACGGAUGAACGGGGAGGAACUCAAUCCAAGAGCUUGUCGCUACAUGUUUACAAACCAGCAAUUGGCCCACUCGCUGAAUCCUUCAUACCCCUCGAAGGAUGCUUUCAUCUCGAAGAUUGGACUAGCAAGUGGACUAAAGAAGUGGUGGCACCGUCGACUUUCUCCACUACGCCGAGGGAAGAAGAAGUGGUCGUAUUAAACUCGUCACUUCACAAUGGAGAUCCAGAAAUGGCCAAAUUCACGCUUCCGUUUGUGGGUUUCAAUGUUAACAAAGCUACAUGGAAAACCCCUUCGUCCUUCUUCGGUGAGGCGUGCUUCACCUCCCAUUAUUGGGAGUGGGUUGAGGACAUGCUUGGAAGGUAUAAAGACGUACUCACACGUGCUGACAUAUUUGAAGCCGUCUACGCGUCGAGAUACUCCUACGACCGCUGUGAAAAUAUCUUGCGAGCCUUCUUCAAAUAUUGGUGUCUCUCGACGAACACACUCCAUACGCCCGUUGGGGAGUUGUCCAUCACACUUUGGGACCUUUAUCGACUUGGUGGCCUUUCGAUCGAUGGCACGUUUUUCGAUGAAGUUGUUCCUUCGGCGCGGGAGCUCCUUACUCGUGACAAAGAAGGGAAGCCACUUCUCCCCAAGAGUUGCAGGCACCUCUUUUCCGCCUACUACCAUCUUUGGACGAAUGACCAAGGGGUAUGGAUGAAGGACUGGAUUCGCUUCUGGUUCAAAGGAGAGGCUAGGUAUAUGGCUCCUCCGAGUAGAGCGAAUAGAAGGAAGACCACAUCUAAACCAAAAAUGACUUACAACCCUUCUGGAAGCGUGGAGCCUUACGACCUUGCCGAUACGAAUGACUUCAAUGUCCCUUUUGACACCCUGGGUAUCCCAGGGUUUCUAAGAAAGGAAACCUAUAUUGCGGCAUUCAUAACGUGUUGGAUUUGCAAGUUCCUUUUGCCAAGCAAAAAGGUCGACCGUAUUCGCCCAAGUGUCUUCAAGGUUGCAUGCUUAAUGGCUACAGGGAAAAGAUUUUGUCUUGCAAUUUCCGUCCUUGCGAGCAUAUAUCAUGGGUUGAGGGAGAUCGUCCACGCCCCUAACCUUGGAGAAUGUGGGGUAACUUUUCCAAUCCAUUACGUCUAUGCUUGGAUUGGCCAAUACUUCGAUGUAUAUUACGAAAAUCAUCAAGUGAGUAGCCACCACGCGCGCAUGACAAGAUUUAGUGGUGAGAAAAUGACAAUAUUUUAUGGCCAAUUGGAAGCUGAGGAAAUUUUCAAAGAAACGAAUCCUUUGAUGCUUCCUAAAUUGUACUGGACUGAGAAUGAAGAAAAGGCGUUGAUCGAUGACGGAUCCUUAUCAUCAAGACUCACGAGCUACUUCAUUAGUCAACGCUCUUGCCAUUUAACUCUACGUAAGGACAAUACUUUCAUUAUUGAAAAAUAUAAUCCUUGCAGGUUCAGCAGACAAUUCGAUUUCUGUCAGGACAUCCCCAACAACUUGAAAGAGAUCACUCACACUUAUACUUUGGGUGAGGCUAUUCAACUAUGGGAUUCUUCGGUUCACACGCAGACGCGAUCUCGGAUGACUAUACCCACACACAGGAAGCAUCCGUUGAUCACAAAAGACUAUGAAGCCUGGUGGUCGACUCGGUCAAAUAGUGUCUCUUCAACUCCCUUAAAAUUCACCGUUAAGAUCUCUCAGCAAUCAGCGAAGAAGGGUAAGGUUACCUCCGCCAACGAGUCAGUGCAUCCUAAUGGAGUUAUAGAGAUUGUAACGGGUCUUACCUCAUCCACCUUGCGGAAGAACAAAACCAUUAGCAGCCCCUUGGAAAACAUUGUUACAAGAAAUAAGUCUUCCAAGGACUCUCGACAGGCCAUCAAAGAGGCGCAACCAGUGAUUCCAGCAAAGAAGAUGCCGCCCAAGGUUUCAAAAUCUUUAUCAGUGACUCACCCAGAAGAAAAUGUCGAAAUUGAAACGAUGGACGAUCGUGAUUCUCUCGAGGCUAUAGAACAAGAAGGGACUCAAGCUCAGGGCAUCUAAUCUACCCAAAGAGGAGCCCAUUCGUUGGCGAGUGGCAGUAGUAGCCAAGACCGUCAUUGGAACCGAUCGAAGAAGAGGACAUCUUCUGAUUUGGAGGAAGUUUCCUUUUCACCACCGUCGGUUGGAGUGUCACCACUUAAGGUAAUCAUAUCUUCCUUUUUUUUUUUUUAAACCCUCAUAACAUUUUUUUUCCCAACUCCCACUUCUUGAAUUCCACCAAGAAGAUGUUGGUACCAACUCACCACUUGAACUUGAGACUAAUGUUAUAAUUUCAAACAAGAAAGGUGACGAAGUCGUUAUCAGCAUUCUAAAACAACCUACCCCCAGUGGAGGUGCCUUGUCAAAGAAGGAGCUGACUAAUUUGCAUGAAAUCCGGAAAAAAUCUAAGGUAGCAUUGGUUUCAGAAUUUCAUGGUCAAAAAUUGAUCCAAGCGCAUCGGAGAAAGUACUUGCAAAGUUUGUGGAUGGAUUUUUGCGGACAGAUUCUUGACACCCCAAUUGAGCAGAUUUCUUCUUUAAAAGAGUGUGCAGAGGAAAUCAUUGCGAAAAUCACAAGAACGGAUCCUACCAAUGGUCUCCCUUUAAAAAACCACUUGAUAGAAUUGUUUGCCAAGGCGGAGGCAUAUGAUCUUUUGGCAUCUUCAUCAUGGGAAAGGAUGAGCAAAGAAACACACGCAGAACUCCUUUCCAAAGCGACCAUCCAACUCGGGAGAGUUAAGGCAAAGGAAGAAGAACUAACGUGUCAUUUGCAAAGUCUUGAAGAAAAGUUACAAUCCAUUGAAGAUAGGAAGAAAGCUUUGCAACAGGAACUUAUUGAUUUGGAGAAACAAAGAAUGGAAAUCAGCUCAACCAUCGAUCAAAAGCAUGAGACCUUCAACGAGAUCCAGACCGAGAUAAGACAAGCACAUGAUGAGCUCUCUUCUAUUGAAAAUACCAGCAUCUUGACUGAUGACGCAGUGAAGGAACUUGAAGACAUGAAGUCUGCACUUGAAUCAUGCAAAAUAGCUGUAGUGGAUUAUAAAUUUGACAUUUAGACUUUUUACCAUGUCCUUUUCCUGAAUUUGUUCCAUUUUUUUUUUCAUGUAAUGAAUUUUUUUUUUGAAUAAAAUGCUUUCCGUUCCUUAUCUCUUGUUUUUUUUCUUAAAGAUACAAGAACUCGAAUAUUUCAUUUAUAUCUUUUUUUUUAAAAGAGAAAAUUCUUUUUUUUUUUUGCAAGGAACAAGGAUUUGAUUUGGAGUGGUGUAACUGAACUUAGAAGUUGCCCUCCAAGCUGCCUACGUAUCACGUAGUUCCUGCCGUUCACAUUUUAACCUCAUGCGGGCCAAGAGUAUCUAUUUGUUUACCACCUUAGACUUGGUAGAGUGUUUCAGCAGUUUAACCACAUACUAUACUAUUGGUGGUUGCCAUCCACAAUUUUAACUCAUUCGGGCCAGGAGCAUCGCGCGGUUCCGAUUACGCAUAGUACCUUUUUAGGUACUUGCCAUUGAUGGGGCCAACCCUUAAUCCAUCUUCAGCAACCAACUUGUAUGAGCCAUUUGUAUAUACUUUUCGAACGACAUAUGGACCAUCCCACUUAGGAGUAAACUUUCUUUGUCCGCCAUGAGUGAGAAUGAUUGGUCUCCGAAAGGCGAGCACUAACUCUCCAAUUUGAAAAGAGCGGGGUCGAACGUGCUUAUUGAAUGCCUUUGAAAGACGAGCCUGAUAACACUCAAUCCGUUGCUGAGCUUCCAAUCUCUUUUCGUCGAGUGCUUCUAAUUCCUCAAGGCGAAGACGAACAUUAUCUUCUCCACUGAGCCAUUCUUGAAUUACAAUUCUUAGCGAAGGUAUUUGACACUCAAGUGGAAGAACAGCUUCAACACCGUAAACAAGCGCGUAUGGGGUUGCUUGUGUGGGAGUUCGCAAAGUAGUUCUGUAUGCCCAAAGCGCUUCUCCAAUUCGAAGAUGCCAAUCCCUUUUCGAUUUAUCCAUGAUUUUCUUCAACAGAUUACAUAAGGUCUUGUUGAAUGCUUCAGCGAGUCCAUUUGCAGCAGCAUUGUACAUGGACGAAUUGUAUUGCUUGAAAUGAAAAUUUUUUGCAAAGUUUGUUCAUUGCUACAUUGCAAAAAGGUUUGCCAUUAUCGGUGAUGAUAUAACGCGGGACCCCGUAUCGAUAAAUGAUGUGCGAGCGAAUGAAAUCUACUACAUUCUCCUUUUUGACCUCUCUUAGAGGAACCGCUUCGGCCCACUUUGAGAAAUAAUCCGUCGCUGCCAAAAUGAAAAUGUGUCCUCCAGAAGAUUUUGGGAGCGGUCCAACUAUAUCCAAACCCCAAGCAUUGAACGGCCAAGAAGCCACAGUUGGAUGCAGUGGUUCAGGAGGUUGGCGGAUGAAAUUGCCAUGGAAUUGACAAGCUUGACAUCUUUUAGCAAAAUCGAUACAGUCCUUUACCAUCGUUGGCCAGUAGUAUCCCAUUCUCUUAAUGUGAAAGUGUAAUUUCGGCCCAAAUUGGUGAGCACCGCAUAUCCCAGAGUGAGCUUCCUCCAUUGCUUGCAUGGCUUCAUUUUCUCCAAGACAUCGUAGAAACACCCCAUUGAAUGAUCUUCGGUAAAGCGUCCCUUUGUAGUAAAUGAAACGUGGUGCUCGACGACGUAUAUCGACCUUUUUCUUGGGAUCUUCUGGUAACUUUCCAUGAUUAAGGUAAUCAAUGAUGAGGUGACGCCAAUCCUUCUUUUCGAUCUCAUGGACAAAAAUAUGAUAAGCAUUUUCUUCCUCACCAUCAUCCUCUUCAUCAAACAUCGGAGGUAUGACCCAAUUUUGACAUAUUGAAAUUUGAUUUCGAUGAGAAGGUAGAGUGAUCAUGGACGCUAUCCUUGCCAAAGAGUCAGCUUGUUGGUUGAAAUUCCUAGGGAUAUGUUCUAUAGUGACAUCGCCCAGAUAUCCCAUGAGUUGUCUUGCAUACUUAUAAUAUGGGAUUAAUUCGGGUUUCUUGACAUCAUAAAUACCAAGAAGUUGAUUUACCACCAAUUUUGAAUCGCCAUAAACUCUAAGAUGCAAUUGCUUCAUGUCUACGGCCGUUUCCAGACCGAGAAUCAAUGCUUAAUAUUCGACCACAUUGUUUGAACACCGACGUGUUAAAAUGAAAGAAUACGGCAAUAUAUCUGCUUUAGGGGUAUAAAAGACAACUCCCGCACCGGCUCCAUCGCGGUGAGCGGCUCCAUCGAAAUACAUCGACCACGGAGAUUCGACCAUAAACACUUCUUCGUUGGGGAGUUCAUCAGUCAACUCCCAUUCGGCAGGCAUGGGAUGAUCGGCUAGAAAGUCUGCCAAUACUUGUCCUUUGACAGCCUUCGCAGGUACAUAAAUAAUUUCAAAUUGUUGAAACUGCAGGUACCAUCUAGCAAGUCGAUCGGACAGUACAGGUUUUGCCAUGACAUAUUUAACGGGAUUGGACUUGGAUAUGAGUCGGACAGUAUAUGCUUGAAAAUAAUGCUUCAACUUCUGAAUGGCAAAUAUAAGUGCCAAACACAACUUCUCGAUGGGUGUGUAAUUCAACUCAUUAGAUGUCAUCAUCCGACUCAAGUAAUACAGCGCAUUCUCCUUACCUUGAUCAUUUUCUUGAGCAAGUAAGGCCUCAACCGAUCGUUCUUGAGCGGAAAUAUAAAGAAUCAAUGAUUUUCCUGGAAUGGGUGCAGCCAACACUAGGGGAUUCAUGAGGUACGUUUUGAUGCUUGUAAAAGCAUUCCUACACGAUUCAUCCCACUCGAAGGGUACCCCUUUCUUCAUUAGUCGACUGAUGGGUUGGCAUCGUCCGGCCAAAUUAGAGAUAAACCUCCGGAUAUAAACCAACUUCCCUUGAAGGCUCUUCAAUUCAUGAAUAUUUCGCGGCUCAGGCAAGUUCACAAUGGCAUCAAUUUUAGAUCGAUCGACCUCUAUUCCCCGUUGAUGAACGAUGAAACCGAGAAAUUUGCCAGAAGUGAUUUCGAAUACGCACUUCAAAGGAUUCAUCUUCAGUUGGUAUCUCCGAAGGCGUUGAAAAACUCUUCGAAGGUCUUGGAUAUGAUCCUCUCGCUUCUUGGAUUUCACCACAAGGUCAUCAACAUAGCACUCCACAUUUCUAUGGAGCAUAUCAUCAAAAAUUCUUUGCAUUGCCCUUUGAUAUGUCGCUCCAGCAUUUUUCAAGCCAAAUGGCAUCACUUUAUAGCAAUAAAUUCCCUUAGGGGUGCGGAAGGCCGUGAGCUCCUCAUCCUCGGGCGCCAUGCGUUUUUGAUUAUAGCCAGAUGAUCCAUCAAGAAAAGAUAGUGCUUCAUGCCCGGUUGUAGCAUCUACCGUCAAUUCUGUGAUGGGGAGCGAAAAAUCAUCUUUAGGGCAAGCCUCAUUUAAGUCUCGAAAAUCGACACAAAUUCGAAUUUGCCCAUUCUUCUUCCUUACAGGGACGAUACUUGAAAUCCAUGUCGGAUAUUUCACUUCCCGUAUGAACCCAGUUUCAAUCAAUCUAUUUAUCUCAUUUUCUAUCAGAGGAAUCAAUUCGGGCCGAAAGCGCCUUUGAGCUUGCUUGACAGGUUUUGUUCCACGCUUGACGGACAAAUUAUGAACAGCGAUCCUUGGAUCUAAACCAGGCAUUUCUGAGUAAUUCCAGGCAAAGACGUCCCUGAAUUCGAGCAGCAAAUCAACAUACUCUUUCUCUUCUUCAGGAGUCAUACAAGAGCUUAUGUAAAUUGGGCGAGGAUCGUCGCUUGUGCCAAGGUUAAUCUCUUUUAGCGCAUCGACUGUAUUUUUUACCCCUUGUUCAAGUUCAGGGGGAGCGUCAUCCGCAUCUUCUUCUUCUUUUUCGAGAUCACUGAUCGUAAUAUGGUGACAGGAAGCCAUACUUUCUUGACCCUGUUCUUAAAAAAUGGUUUCAAUUCUUACAUUGAAUAAGUCUCUAUAGUGCACGAAGAAAUUGGAGACUCGCUUUCUUGGUCCGUUCUUCUUUAUUAGAGUAAGACUUUCUUUCUUGACAACUUGGUACUCUUGCUUUUUAUUGCCUAAUCUUUCAUAGACGGGCGGUUUCAAAUAUUUCGGCUGCGGGCCAAGUCUGUCAAAUACAGAAGUACGUUUUGACUUAUUUCCCAACCUAUCGAACACAGAUCUCCUUCGGCUUGUGACUUCCAUUUCCUCGUUCACGUAGUUACAACUUGCCCUUUUGAUCAUUAUACGCACUGGAGAAGGCGGUUGAUAACCAAGACCCAUCGAUGAACUUUCAACAUUAUAGCCUUUUUCUUUCAACAUUUUCUGCGUAGGUGUUAAUCCAUGAGUCUUCUCACCAGUCACCUCAGGAGGGAGUUUGCCCAAUGCAUGCUUCUCAUUUGGGUAAUAACCGGCCUUAGCAAGAAGUCUGUAUGCGUUUGGAUCAAAACCUUCUUGAGUCCGAUUAGUUGGUAGUGAGUAAUGUUCUACUGCCGGUUCUUCUUUGGGACGAACAAAUCCUUGCAAGCUCACCUUCGUACUUUUAACAGGCUCUAUUUUGGUGAGCGGAACAUUUAAUGUAUCAUUCCUGAUAAAAGAAGACUGACCUUCUUCUCUCCUUGAUCUUGGAAUAUAUUGCAAAAUGGGUACUUUGAAAUCUUGACUUUCUUCCUCUACUGAUUCUUUUCUUUUUGCUUCCUUCUGAAGGUAAAAUUUGGCGUCCGCAAAGUGAGUCUCGGCCUCAGUGAAAGGUUUGUCAUCGGCAGUAACUUUCUUAACUAUACCAUCUCGACAAUAUUUGAAACAUUGAUGAAGAGUAGACGGUAUAAUUUCAUUCUCAUGAAUCCAAGGCCUUCCCAAGAGCAUGUUAUAAGAGGUUUUGGCUUCAAUGAUAUGAAAUAACGUACUUGAAGGCAACACACCAAUGAGCAAUUCAAGCCUUAUGAGGCCAAUUGCUCUUUGCCCCCUUGGUUAAAUCCUUGGAUCAUGAGGCGGUUCUGGGAGAGUUCAUCGCUGGAAAUUCCUAAUUCUUUCAUAGCACGUACGGACAUAAUAUUGACAGUAGAUCCCCCAUCAAUGAGUAUCCGAUUCAUCUUCUGUUCUCGGACAUACACGCUAACAAACAAAGGCCGAUUGUGGGUUUUAAACUCAACACUUAAAUCGUCAUCAUCAAAAAUGAUGGUCGUUGCAUAAUUCACUGGUGAUUUAUCGUCGAUUUUGAGUUUUUCCUCAAAUUUCGUGCUAAUUUGUGUAACUUGAGAAUUUUCAGCUUUGACGACAUUACAAGAGGUGAAAUUAUCGGUAUCGUCACUUAAAUACACCUUGGGUAUAAAUUCUCUCAGUGUCACGGGCUGCUGAACCUCUUGAAGGAGCUGAAAAUCUGAAGAAAUUGGUUUUGUGGCCACUCCCUUUUAUUUUUUUGUUGCAUUUCGUCGUUUCAUCGUCACUUUCGAUUUUGUCGAAUGAAUGCUUUUCGAAAAGGUGUACUUCUUUAUUUUUGGCUUGCAAGUCAUCUUUCGAGUGAUUAAAGUCCAUCCUUCGUUGUCAUCUUCAAUAACGUCUUCAAUUGAGGAUUUUUCAACCUCCUUGGACAAAGCACUGCUUGUUGUGGCUAAAACUUCUACCGGACAACAUACAGACCCAAAUAUUAUUGUUGUUUGGUUUGCCGAUGCUUUAUCUUCCUCGAGAAGGAUCUUUCCUUGACGGGCCAAUUCCAUAAUUUUGUCUUUAAAGACAAAGCAUUUAGUGAGAGGGUGGCCAAUCAGGCGAUGAUAACAGCAAUAAUUUGGAUCAUUGACUUGACCGGCUUCCUUUGGGCGCUUCAUUUCAGGAAGUUCAAGGAGUUUCUCCUUGAAAAGGUCAUCAAACAUCCCUUGUAAAUCAGAUUCAAGAAAUGGGUAUUCUUUUUCUUGCAUCUCUUUUAACGUGGGUCUUCUUAUUGACCUAUUUUGAGAUGGAUCCAACUUCUCAGUGACCUUUCGACUCACUUUGGUAGCAAUUUUCAUGGGGGCUGUAUUUAUUGCCAUAGACUCCUUAUUACUGAGUCUUGAAGGAGGCUUGCCCCCUUUUUUAUUUUCUUGCCUUUCAUUGUUUUGACGAGACGGCUGCACUCGCGGAUCUUGAAUAGGAAGCCCAUCAGUUGCAUUGGCCGUGAUGCUUAACUCUAUGUCAUGAGCAUGAGUAGCUAAUUCUUCAAAUGUGUUUGGGCGUAUACCCUGCAGAAUGUAGUUUAGGCUCCAAUGCAUUCCUCGAAUACACAUUUCUAUGGCAGAGGGUUCAGACAGCCUGUCCUUGCAGUUGAGACUCAGACUUCUCCACCUAUCAAUGUAGUUGACCACAGGUUCAUCCUUCCAUUGACGAGUGUUAGUCAACUCCAGCAUACUGACGGUUCUUCUAGUGCUGUAGAAGCGAUUCAAGAACUCUUGUUCCAACUAUUCCCAACUGUCGAUGGACCCCAGAGUGAGAUUAGUGUACCAAUCAAAUGCGUUGCCCUUCAAGGAUCGGACGAACUAUUUGACUAGCAGGUCACCAUAGGUUCCAGCGUUAUUGCAGGUUUCAACAAAAUUGACCACAUGUUGUUUUGGACAACCCUUCCCAUCGAACUGUUGAAAUUUAGGCUGUUGAUAUCCAGCAGGCAUUGCGAGAUUGUCGAUUCUAGCAGUGUAAGGCUUGCAGUAGGUAAAGCUUGACUUUGAACCACCCUCCUUUUUAUCUUUGAUCACGCCUUCAACAAGUUCAUUCAGUUGUUCCACGGGGAUAGUUCCAUCGGCGGUCACAUAUACUUCCUUCACCUUGUCUUUGUCUUUAGAUGAGGGAAUUUCACGCUCUUGGUUCGCAUGGCUUCCUUCAGGAGCGUGAUCUUUCUGGGUGAGCAGUUGAGCAAUGAGAGCAUCUUGGUCCUUGAUGUGUUUCAUCAUGGUUUCCAUCAUCUUGGACAUGUUCGAAACUUGUUCUUCGAGACUUAAAGUAUUUGUCAUCAUGGCAGGCAUUGCAACAGAAGAAGCAGCAGAAUCUUCAAUAGAAAAUCUUGAAUGAAGAGUUUCGUGUGAAGAGGCUGAUCCAGUGCUUGAUGAAUCAUCGUCAUGCUUAGAAAACUUGGAUUCGGAUCCAAAUUCGAUCAUAGCAAGAGCCUUCUCAAUCGAGGCAGGAACGUCUUGGAUCCCCAUCGUGGAAGAAUAGCUCAUUGGUGAUGUUGAACCGAAGACGGGAGUUGGCACCGAUGGAGCUUCCAUGCUACUUUGGGUGGAGGCUCUCGUCAUACUCCUUGUCACAGGACCAAUAGCGCGGGUAUUGGUGGCAACAUGUGCAGCUUCCUGAACAGGUUUAGCAUCAGUAGCCUUGGAACGUGUAAUCACGAUUUUGUUGCUCUUAGGUGCCAUUGAUGAUGUAUAUAGUUGAAUAUUCGAAGAGAAGAGAUGGAAGGCAGAGAGUGUCCCACCGGGCGUGCCAAAAAUUUGUACGCGAUAAAAAUUUCAAGUCUGCAAAACGACAAGGAAAAGAAAUACACGACAAAUAUGUAAUAUAUAAAUUUAGAAAAAUGUGUGGGUACAAUCUCUGGAAGUUUCUCGAACUUAUGGAGAGUUUCCUUUGAUUCUUCUCCUCGAACACCAAUCCAAGGGCUUCGCAGCUUGUUCUCGGAUCAACCACCGAUUCUUUCAAAUCUUGAUAUGGAAGAUUUGAAGAACUUGAGAAUAUUUGAAGGCUCAAGUCUUGAUAUGCGGAAGACUUGAGGAGCUUUGAGACCCAGACCUUCGUAGCUUGGAGCUUCAAUACUUGAGUGUAUGAGAUGCCUCUUAAUAUCUCUGUGUCUUUGAUUUGGUUGGGAGACCUCUAUUUAUAGCUGUAACAAGGGGUAGAGGUUGAAGACCUGUGUACCACUUUACUUGCAAGACGUGCAGUCAUAUUAGAACUGUGCCAGUUAAAUAUUAUCUCUUCAUUUUAUAUUUAUCAAUAAAGAGAUAGAUAAUUUCUCGAUUGGCCAAGCCUGUGGGGACAAGUGACGUGGCGCCGUCUGAUUGGACAGUCCAUUGCGGUAUAUAAGAGAUAUAUAUGGAUCAAACGACUCUAAAUAUUAUCUCUUUAAUAAGAAAUAAAUAUUUAAAUGUCUAUCCAGUAGACAUAUGAUAUGAUAUGAUUUGGUUGGUGGAGAUAUCCCUACAAUUUGAAUAACUUUGGAACACCUCACCUUGACACGUGGAAAAAUAUAAUUGGCCAUUUAAUAACCAAUUUUUCCAAGUGUACCUGCCAUAUGGCAAUAUCCGAUUGGACAAAAAUAUUUUAUAGACCAAUGAUAAUUUUUUUAAAAUUUCAUCGUCUACAUGGGUAUAGGGGGGAGGGAACUGCACACUUUAUUAAUUAAACAUUGCUGGUUGCUACUUCUUGUUAGAAAUUUGGUAUAUAUUCGUGCAAUAGUAGUGAAUUAAUUAAAGAGAAUUUCUUUUAAACUUGGUUAGUAUAAGUACAGAUUGUAGAUAUAUGUGUUACGCUACGUACAUAUUAUUUUGCUAAACUUACCUAGUGAAAGAAAUUGGUUGCAAUUUAGUGUGCCUUGACAUCUUGUUAGAGAAGUAUUAUUUUAUGUGAAUAAAUCGUAACAAUGGAUUCAGAUUGUGAUAGUGUUGUAAAAUGGUUUCAGACGAGAGAUUUUUGGAAGAAGUGUUGCAGAAAUAUAGUGUCAUCAGUCAAUGUACCGAGGGAACACAAGAAGUAACUGCUGCGGAACAAGAAUUUUUCAUAAAGGCUACAAAAUGGUGAAAGUUGGUGAGAUCUGAAGCAGAGAUACACUCAAUCGAAUUGGACUAAAUCACAAAGGUAAGAAUAUUGCAAACUUAUCACAAUAUUUGGCUUGUUUUGUGACUGAAGAAGGAUGAACUUACUUGCAUGGUUUUGUUUGUACAACUUGUUUAAGAUGAUGUGACAUAAAUAAUGAAUUUGAAACUCUGACGAAAACUCCUAAACAAGGAAACUGUGGGUAACACAAGUUAGAUACACUAAGAGCCAACUUGGGGGAGGUAUGCACAGGGAACUUAUGCAUGCCAAGUAUUUGUAAAUUCGACUCAGUAGACGAAUUAAAUGACUUAGGAAGUUUAUAAGCAUAUAACAUAACAGGGAGAGUAUGAAUGUAAUUGUUUUUUUUUAUUCUUGUUGCAGGAUAAUAGUGACACCGUAUAAUUUAGACUGCAUUACCAACUGUGUAUGGGUGCUCACAUUACAAUGGACUGACACAUACAAAGAUAAAGAUAACCGAAUUGAGUUAUUGUAAAUUAUACAAAUGAAAUAGGGAGUACAACAAAGAGGGAUUCCUUCAAGAUUACAAGGUAUCUGAGUGAUUGUGGCUAGCUGUACUUCUUGAUCACAGUAGACUGACACAUACAAAGAUAAAGAUAAGCAAAUUGAGUCAUUGUAAAUUAUACGUAUGAAAUAGGGAGUACAACAAAGAGAGAUUCCUUCAAGAUUACAAGGUAUCUGAGUGAUUGUGGCUAACUGUACUUCUUGAUCACAAAUAAUUUUUGAGAUAAACUACUGACGAUUGGAAAAUACACUCAUGUAUAAAGAGGAAUUCUUCUAGGAUUACACGAUAUCUGAGUAAUUGUGGGUAGCUAUACUUCUUGAUAGUAAAUAUUUUUUUGAGAUAAACUGAUAGUUAAGAAAUACUCUUAUGUAUCUCUAAUUAAGUGGAUUCUAACAUGGUUUGGCAUCUAUAUACAUAGAGAAUUACAUUGGAGCGAGAAAUGAAAAAAGGAAUAAUUGACACAAGGGGAGAGGGAACUACACACUUUAUUAAUUAAAUAGUACUGGUUGCUACCUUGUGUUAGAAAUUUGGCACUUAUUCAUGCAAUAGCAGUCAAUUAAUUAAAGAGGAUUUCUUUUAAAUUUGAUAUGAGUGUAGAUUGUAGAUAUAUGUGUUACGCUAUGUACAUAUUGUUUAGCUAGACUUACCUAGUGAAAGAAAUUUGUUACAAUUCAAUGUUACUUGACAUCAUGUUGGAGAAGUAUUUUUUUAUCUGAAUAAAUAGUGACCAUGGAGUAAAACUGUUAUGGUGUUGUAAAUUAGUAUUUCACUAAUGUAAUGAUGUUAAAAUCAUGUCUGUCUAAAUGACAAUAGAAGAAAAAUUUAUAAAUAGAUGGGAAGGAGAGGGAAGGAGGAUUUGCACAUAAUAUUAAAUAGCAACUAUUGUUACCUCAUGCUUGUAAUAUUGUACCUUUUUGUAGAAUAGUAGUAUAAUAAAUGAAACAUAUUUCUUGAAACUAGAUGGGUAUAAGUAUAUAUUGUAAUUUGUAUCUAGUAGGUCAAAUGACAUAUUGUUUAGACUACCUUUCUUAUAGUUAUCUUAAUUAGUGUGCAUGUACAUCUUGUUAGAUAACUAUUACAUUCUAUGAUAGAACAGUGACAGCAUAGAAAUAAUUUGACAUGGUCAUAAAUGUACAAUCAACUAGCAUAAUGAUAUUAAAUCAGGUCCAGGAGAUUGAUAAUGGAAACCAUGUAGAGAAAGAAAUGCAGACAUUAAUAAGCAUUAGUAAUUGUUUACUCUUAUUUAUAAGUUAAAACCUCGACUAACUGUAGCAAUCCAAUAUUGAAACCCACAAUAUGAGAGUUGAUUGGCAUCAGUCUUGGUUCUAAUGUCUAUAUGUUAGGCCGAAUGUACUUGUUGUUCAAAAUAUUUACCUCACAAUUGAAUUUGCUAUAUCAUUCUUGGAACUAAUUUAUCUUGAUUUAGGAAUGUUGGGAGAAAAUCUUAUGUAAUUGAAAUGUAGUUGUUUAUCAAAAAGUUGGUGCAGAUGGCAUGAAGGAGAUUGAGAAGUUCGACUAAGAAAGCAUCUAGAGAAGAAAAAAGUGAAAAAUCAGGUAGCAGCAAACUUGAGGCACCUUCAAAAUCCUUGAAUACGUAAGUUGUCGAUGUUUUUAUAUUGCGCCAAUAUGUUAGUAGAUAGUGAGAUGUAACUGUUUGACUGAUUGUAAUUAUGAGUUGUUGAAUUGGUCUCACACUGUGUUAAUUUGCAUAGAUAAGAGUAUAUGAAAUUUUAGCCAAACUGAUAUAUGUUGAACAAAGUAAAUAAUCUUUACAAUUUGCAUGAGCAGUGGCAAGAUGGCACCGAAAAGGACAAUGAAGAAUCCAAGUAACAAGGAAGAAAUAUAAAUAGGGGGAACUACUGACCUUGCAAAACCAAUCCCAUCAUUUAUAAUUAGAAAGGAAAAGAAGAAAUCAACUUGAGAAGAAGAAAUGGAGCAAGCGAAACUCAGUUGCAGCAUUGUACAACUCUUUUACCUUUCUUUUACAUAUUUUUGUUAUCACAACAUUUGUAAAUUUUUUAUUUCAAUUUAUAGAAAAUAUUAUGUAGUGAUAGGUAAGAAUCCUUGUAGAUAUCAUUAUAAUUAUUGUAAAUUUUUGUUCAAUUUGUAGAUUUAUUUGAAAUAUUGUAUAUAUCUAUUAGAAUUAUUAUACAUAUUGUUAUAAUUAGAUUGUACAUUUGGCUAAUUUUUUUAUUCAAUUUUUAGAAAUAUUUGUAAAUAAUAAAAUUAUCUAACAAAAAGACACUUGUUAUGUUUAUAAACUUAACAAACUUCUCCAUUCUUCAUUUUUUUUAUGAGGAAUCCAUUAUUCAUUUUAAGUCGCACAUCAUCCCUCUUUAUGUAUAUGUUAUUUUUAUAUGCAUCAUAUCUAAUAAACCCAAAAAUAUUUAUUCAAAGAGCAAUUAAAUGAUAGAAAUAUGUCAAAGUUGACAUUCCAACCAACCUAAAGAUAUUUGUUCAAAGAACAAUUAAAUGCUAGAAGUAUGUCAAAAUUGACAUGCCGCCAAUCACUUUUCUAACGCUUUUAGUUCGGGUUGAUAAAAAUGAAAAUGAGUAACAUUAUGGUUGGGUGUUACAAAUUUGUUGAUGGAUAAUUAUUAUUUUAUAAGAUUAUAAUAUAUUAACAACUAAAAUCUUACCUAAAGCCACUACUUUCAUAAUAGUGGUAGAUGACUAGUUAAAUUUUUUUUUCAAUCAGUAUGUAUGUAACUUAUAAGUAACCAAAUGUAACUAAUUUUUACCAAUUUGUAAACCAAAAUCUUUAUUUCCUUAAACAUGUCAUAAAAUGGGUUAAAUAGUUUGUAAGACAUUAGCAAUGGAAAGUCAAUAAAUACCAACAUGGACUACAACAUCAGUAUGUUACUAAUUAGCAAUAGAAUAUAAUUUUUUUUUUACCAAUCAAUAGAAUAGAAGUUAUUGCUUUGGAUAUAUUAUAAAACAGAUCGAGCUAAUAAUAAAAAAUUAGCAAUAAAUAAUUUUUAAAUACUAACUAAAUAUACAAUACUCAUAAAUAGAAUCUAAAAUGAGUAAUUUAACUUUUUUCCCCUUGGACAUUGUAAAAUAGAUUGAACAUGUGGUAAUGAAUUAAGAACUAAAUGUAAGUACAUUCUCACGAAUGUUACGAGUCUGGUACAAUAAAACUAUCUAAUUGUCCAAUAUAAUGUCUUUGCUCCACCAGCAUUGAUUGAUAUCCAUUGAUUUGUCAAAAGACGCUACUUUUGCCCAUGACAUGCUGCAAAAUAAGGUGAAUACGAUAUAAUGUGUUAACAAUUACAUACAUGGUAUAGUUAAUCAAAUCCCAAUUUGUAUGCCUAUAUGAAUUCUAUGUAACCAAUGAACAACUAUAAAUUAAAUUUAUUCUUACAUUAUGUGUAUGCAUGUGACAGUGUGUAAGGGCUAACAACCAAUUACAAAUUCAAACAAUGGACUAAUUUAUGUAAAUUUAUGACCAUGUAAGCAUACAUAACAUAUAGUACUACUCUAUAACCAUUAACAACGUGUACACUCUACAGAUAAAUGCUAAUAUCAACUAUAACAAAGUUUGUAAAAUAUAUUUCAACUCACGUAACUACUUUUUCUGCACUAUAUCUAAUCUCCCUUUUACAUGCAUAUAUAAUCAAGUAACUAACACCUAACAUGAUGUACAUUUUUGUAAACUGAUUGUACUUCAUAGAUCAUCUCGUGUAAGGUAUUCACAGACAAAUAAUGACUACUCAUACAAGUAAAAUUACACAUCUACUACAGGAAGAUGCACAAAUUGAUCAAAGGGCUAAAUAACCAUUCUAAAUUUAUGCGUACCAUUGCACUACCUUUUAUAGAUAUACACGGUCAAGUAACUAACAUAUAACAUAAUGUACAUUUUUGUAAACUGAUUGUACCUCAUAAAUCACUUCGUGUAAGGUGCUUAUAGGCAAAUUAGUAUUAAUCAUAUAGAUAAAAUUACAUACCCACUGCAGCCUGCAAGGAGAUGCACAAGUGGAUCAAAGUACCAAUAACCAUUCCAAAUGUAUACAUACCAUUGCACUAUGCAUAUUGCUGCGAUGAAUAAUUGUAAUAUGCAUGUGAACAAAUAACUGCAUGUUUAACAAGUUUUAUGCAUCGUACUUGAUUGAUAACAUGGUAUACAUUAUUUCAAUCAGAUUAUGCAUUCACAAAGUAUUUAUAUACAUGCUACUUACUGAAAUGAAUUACCUCUCUACUAAAUGUUUGAUGCACUCUCAUAAGCACUAAUGGUUGAUUUAACAGGUGAUUGGAACAAAUAACUAUCUAGUAAAAGCUUUUGAUAUAAUAUUAUUGAUGAAUAACAUAUUGUACAUUCUGAUAAACAUGGUGUAUAUCACACACCUUAUCUUGGCCAAUAACCAUUUCAAAGUUAUACAUAUCGUUGCACUACCUUUUACAGAUAUAUAUAGUCAAGUAACUAAUACAUAACAUGAUGUAUAUUGUUAUAAAUUGAUUGUACCUCAUAGAUCACCCCAUAUAAGGUGCUUAUAAGCAAAUUAGUAUUACUCAUACAAGUAAAAUUACACAUCUACUACAGCCUGUAAGAAGAUGUACAAGUUGAUCAAAACACUAAUAACCAUUCCAAAGGUAUGCAUACCAUUGUACUAUCUUUUAUAGAUAUACACAUUCAAGUAACUAAUACCUAAGAUGAUGUACAUUUUCAUAAACUGAUUGUAUUUAUACAUAACACUGUAUAAGGUGUUUACAGACAAAUCAAUACUACUCAUACAAGUAAAAAACAUUUACUAAAAAUCAGUACAAGUUGUGGCUGCAACGGCUAAUUGCAAUAUGCAUGUGGACAACUAACCGCAUAUUCAAUAAUUUGUAGACAUUGUAUUUGGUCGAUUAUAUAGUAUACAUUAUUUCAAUCAGAUUGUACAUUCACUAAGUAUGUAUGUACUUGCCACUCAUUGAAAUAAACUAUCUAUCUAAUUUAAUGCACUCUCAUAAGCACUAAUGGUCAAUUUCAUAGACGAUUGGAACAAAUAACUAUCUAGUAAAAACAUCUGAUAUAAAUGUUAUUAAUGAGUAACAUGCUAUAUGUUCCAAUAAACACGGUGUACAUCACAUACCUUGUCUAGGCAAAAUCUUACAAGUUAUCAAAAGGUACGCCAUAUUUUAAAAGCAAUUACAAGUAGUAAAAUUUAUACCUUGCAACAAGUUACACCAUACUUUAAAAGCAAUUACAAGUCGGCAAAUAUCAUUAUAAUCAUGUUAUGAGAUACUUUGCAACAAGUGUACCUUCUUGAUGUUGUCAAGCCAUCCUAAUCUUUGUUUAGGUAGACUUUCUGGAUGCUGAAACCUAUGACAAAACCAUAUAUGUGAGUGAUGGUCGCAUAGUGUCAUAGUUGUGCACAAUAGGUUUCUGAUAAUAUACAUGUUGUUAGAUGACAAUUACGGUUUAUAGUCACAAAUGUAUGCAUUGUGAGUCAGGUAUUGCAGUGCUGUACUCCCUAUUUUAUUCGUGUAAUUUAUAAUAACUCACUUUACUUAUCUUUUAUCUUUGUAUGUGUCAAUUUACUAUGAUGUGAGCGCCCAUACACAGUCGGUAAUACAGUUUAAACUAUACGGUGUCACUACUAUCCUGCAACAAGAAUAAAAAAAAAACAAGUAACAAUUACCUUUACACUCUCCCUGUUAUUUUAUAUGCCUAUAAAUAUCCUAAGUCAUUUAAUUCGUCUAUUGAGUCAAAAUUACAAACACUUGGAAUGCAUAAGUUCCCAGUGCAUACGUCCACCAAGUUGGCUCUCAGUGUAUCUAACUUGUGCUACCCAUAUGAUUUCCUUGUUUAGGAGUUUUCGCCAGAGUUCCAAUUUCAUUAUUCAUGUCACACUGUCUUAAACAAAUUGUACAAACAAAAUCAUGCAAGUAAAUUCAUCCCCGUUGUGUCACAAAACAAGCCAAAUAGUGCAAUGAAUUUGCAAUAUUCUUACCUUUGGGGUUUAGUUCAAUUCGAUUGAGUCUACUUCUGCUUCAGAUCUCACCAACUUCCGUCUUUUUGUAGCCUUUAUGAAAAAUUUUUGUCCCGCAACAGUUUCUGCAACACUUUCUCCAAAAACAUCUCAUCUAAAACUUUUCAAUUUGGGGUAGGGAUAUUAUUUUGUUGAUACUCUGGAAUUGUGAAUGAAUGUUCACAAGAUAUGUUUUUGGAGGGAGACCAAAAUUCUAUUUCAUUUGAAGAUUUCAGAUGAAGAGUCGUGCCUCAUUGAUUUGAGCGGGAAUUUUUGGAACAGAUAGCUGAGGUAUUUUAACAGAGCCCAUUAGCCCCUCAAAUGUUUUUUUUUAUUUUUUCCAUACUCACUUACUGAAACAACGUCGUUUUCCUUUGCUGUUGCCCCCAUUAUACGUGGCUUGUUGCAGUCCUCUCAUUUCCUUUUGUGAGAGGACUGCUCAGGGACGGUCGACCUGAUGACUGUCCCUGCCCCAAAUCCGUGCUAGACCGACCCAAAAACGGAGAUCGCCGAGGACGCCUCAUCAUUUAUUUCUUCAUUUUUUCUGGUCAGUAAAAACCCAAUUGAAUUCCUAGACUUAUUAUUCCUUCAAUUCUCAGAACCGGAGAUCGCCGAGGAAGCCUCAUUAUUUAUCUUCUUCAUUUUUUUCUGGUCAGAUAAUUCCCAAUUGAUGCCCCCAGACUAUUAUUCUUUGAAUUCUAUUUUUUUUUCAAUUUUUAGAUUUAUCAUAUUCAUCUCUUUUCCCCAAUAGCCAUCCAUCCAACCUGGUCCAUUCUUUUUCCCACCCAAUCUUUUAGCCAUUUAAAGUUUAAACUCUAAAGACUUUUUCCCAAAAAUUCUCUCUUAGCUUCAGAUUUUUAGAAACCCGGCUCCCAUCCAAAAAACAAGAGACAAAACCGAAAGAAAAAUUUCACCCGGAUCAUUAGCCAUUUAAACUGUCAAAAUAUCUAACUAUAUAAAAGCGGGAGUUGGAGAAUGAACAGUGAAAUUUUGGUCGAGCGAUUAUCACGUAAUUUUGGGCAACUUUGAGGGCAAUUGUCAAGUGGCAUUUUGGUCUUUUGACAUGUGGCUGGCUCUGGCUUUAGGAAGAUUCGGUUAAGCGUCAGAAUUGCCGAUGCUAUUUCAUUGAUUCUCUUUUGCUAGAAAAAUACAACAAUUAUUAAGAUGGCUCUUGGCAUUAUAUUUCAAUAAAAAGGUCUGGCUCUGGCUGAGGCUUGUUAGCUGUAUUAUUGUGCUCUGUGUGCUACAGGGGCUAGGACUCACAAAAGAGAGCUGUACCUAUACACUUUCUAUUGUAAGUAAUGCUGCAAGCCUUGUUUUAGAGCUCUGCCAUAUGCCCUUUAAUCUUCUCCAAUAUCAACCCACCUCGGGCCGCCUCACCAAGAAAACCAGAAAAAAAGGAAAAAAAAAAGAAGAAAAUCUCUCUCAGGCUCUCCAAUAGAUAUAUAUAUAUAUAUCUAAAUAUAUAAAAGGGAGAAUUGGAUAAUGAAUAGCUCCAUUUUGGUCAAGCGAUUAUGCUGUAAUUCUUGAGCCCGAGGGAAAAAAUAACAAGCCCAACAUUGUCAUCAUAUAAGUAAGCAAAAUCGGUUAAGAUGCCAUGUUUCAACUAAAAAUGGUUUCUAAUUCUAUAGCUUUUUCAAAAGUACAAUUAGAAGGAUAUAUAUUAGUCUAUAUAUACAUAUUUAGUCUAUAUAAUUAUUGGAAAAAUUUUAAUUCCCUUAUUUUUAUUAUUAUACUUUUCAUUCUAUAUAUAUAUAUUCUAUAAACAUGAGCUUACUUUUGUCUUCUAUGUGUGCUACAUUAUGAGUCUAUUUCCUUUUUAAAAGAAUAAUUAGUUUGUUAUUUUACUAAUAUAUCCAUGUUUAGUGUAUAUAUAAUAAUUAUAAAAUUUUUUAACAUAUUUGUUUUCUCUAAUGGCUCUAAAUUGCUGUAAAUUGAAAAGCGAUAUUGUGUGCUAAUCUUUGUAUAUUAUUUAUUUAAACAUGUAACAUUAAUUAGACUAUUUCUUACAUUUGAAAAUUAAAGUACUCUAAAUUUGAAAAAUAAUGUAAUAAUACAUGUCUUUUUUGUGACCGGAGAGGUCACCGGCGGUGGCGGUCGGCGCGGCGCCACCGGCGGCGACCAUGGCCGCCAGCUGAAGCUCCUUCAGCUGGCCGAAGAAGAAGAGAAAAAGAAACGGCUGGAAGUGGAGAAAGGAAGAAAAGAAAAGAAGGAAAGAAAGAAAGAAAAAAGGGGUUUGGGCUAAGGUUAGUUUUUAGGUGGUUUGUGAUUUUUUUGUUAGGUCUUGGGAUGGGUUUUGGUUUAUUUUUUCUUUUGGGUUUCGGUUGGGCUAGGAGGUUGGAGCCCAUGUUUUUUUGGCUGGGCUUGAGGGAUAAAAAGGCAGGCUGGCCUGUGUGUUUGGCUUGGAUUUUCGGCUGGGCUUAGGUAGUGUUCGGCCCAAAUAGAUAAAAUGAUGGCCCAGUGGCCUGUUUUCUUAAGAAGAUCAGAAACCGAUUCUUGCACUUUAGCCCCUGAUUUUUGGAGUAGUUUCACUGUGGCCCAGAAUAUUUUAAAUUUAUUUCAUGUCGGUCCUUAUAGUAAUUGCACUUUGGUCCCUGAAUUUUAUCUUUUAUUUAAUUUUGACCCUAAACUUUGAAAAAAUAAUUUUUGUCCCCAAAAGUUUUUCAAUUUUUGCAAUUCAGUCCCUGAUGAAUUUUGACUCUCUUUAUUAUGAUUGUUUCUUUUCUUUAAUAGCUAAUUAUGCUACUUUUGAAUAUACUUAAUUUGGAAAUUUUUUAGAUUUACUUAAAUUUCUUUACGUCUGACAUAUUAGCGUGAAUUUAGUACUUGUAUUAUUAUUUUCUUUUCCAAUUAAAUUGGUGCCAUGAUCCUUUUGUUCAUUGUGAGUAUAAAUAGGACAAUUUGACUCCAUUUAGUCACCACUUCAAACGGGAGGUACCCCUAUUUUAUUAUUUCAAUGUCAAUUACGUGCUCUUAUGUGUUCCUAUGUGUUUAUAUUUUUAUAUGCUUUAUUUAUUUGAUUUAAAUAUUCAUUCAAAUUUUCUUAUAUAUGUUUAGUUAAUUUUUACAAUGAUUCAAGAGGCAUUUAAAAACCUCAAAAAUGUAAUAGAUAGGAUAAUUAGAUUUUAUUAUUAUAUUUUUCCCUCCUAUAUUGUAGUUAGGCGCUCCCCGAUGUAAUAGAUAAAUUGCGUGUUUAUGUGGCUUAUGUGUUAUGUGUUUUAUCCGCUUUUCUUAGGAUUUGGCAUCUAGAUAUUAUGCUUACGUGUUAUGUGUUACGUGCUCUUAUGUGUUUAUUUGUUUUAAUUUAUGCUUUAUUUGCUUCACUAUGAAUUGUUAAUACAUGACGUCACCACACUAGUCCAACGCUAGUUGUGGCUUCUCUCUUCGCUUACUUGCUAGUUCAACGCUAGUAAAGAUUUUUAGAAAUGGGCUAAUCCAAUGCUAGACCCUUUAAGCCUUCUUGCAUUAGAUUCAUCUUUGUGUGAUAUUCAUUACAUUUUUAUUCAUAUUUUCAUUUUUAGGAUCUUUUCUCAUUUGCGUGAUAUUUCCUAUUAUAUUAUCCUCUAUCCUCUAUAUGUGUUAAUCAUGUCAUUUAGAAUUGCAUCUCAUUUAAAUUAGUUCAUUUGCUUGUCUAUGUUAGGAGAAUUAUUUUUCAAACAUGGGAAAUGGGUGAUUAUAACCUUUUAGUUUAAAUACCCUAUCAAUCCAUGUAUAAGAAAAUUAUGUCACGAGUUUUUGCCUCCCGUACCCUUUACGUUGCAUUCCAUUUUUCUUUGAUAACUUAUAUAUAUGUAUAUAAUUUAAUUUAUUUUCUUUUAUUUUAAUUUCAUCAUUCGCAUACUCGUGACACCUUCAAGGAAUUAUUUUGGCCCUCGCAAUUAAUGCGAUUGGUUCAAUUAAACCCUUGAAUGAACAUUUUGUCCCUUUCGAUAUUUUUAUAAAUUUAGAUUUGCAUCCAUGUAGGAAACAUCCAAAUGUGAUAAAAUUAAGGGUUAGAUUAAGAAAAUUUUGAUUAAAUCUCGCAACUAGCUUAGAAUAGGUUGAAAGGGUGCCUUAGAUUUGAGUUAAUCGAAUCUUUGCCUUCCCUUUCUUCAACCGUGACUCCCGAAUCCAUUUUAUCUGUUUUUCAAAGACCUGGAGUUGUCGAAAAGGGUUAUUUAUUUAUUUAUUUUAUUUAAAUACUUUAUUUUUUGGGUGACUUGGUACACCAAAACUCCAUACCAAGUGGCGACUCCUAUUUUUUCUUAAAAACCCUUUUAGACUAAAUUUUGGACCCAAAUUGUCGCAUUCUUUUUAAGUUCCAUUUUAGGUCCUUUUUUAUUUAUUAUUAAUAAAUCACAUCUUUUUAUAAAACACUUUCUUUUCCAUCGCGAAAAAAUGGGGCGCGACAACUUGGCGACUCCACUGGGGACGUAAGAGAGUCCAAGCACUUGGUUUAGUCGUCUUUUCUCUUUUUAACCCUUAUAUUUAUCAUAUUUGGAUGUUUUAGGUUGCAUUUUUCUCUUUUAGGAUAUUUUGCAUUUCACCCUCGUAUUCGUUUAUCGUUCCUCGUAUAUGUGAUGAAUGAUUUAUUUAUUUAUUUUUGUUUAUUUACUUAUAUGUAUCGCGCUUUGCAUUUGGGGGUGGGGAAUAUUACUCUAGAGCCUCGCAUUGGUUCUCGAUCCCUCCCCUCCAAACCGAGCACUGGCAUACGUGCAUACGUUUUUUUUAAUCCCUUAUUUAUUUUUCUUUUAGUGGCUUGUCACGCCACUCUUCCCUGUUAGGAUUAGGCGACCCACUUGGACGUGUGAUCGCGACACGACGUGUGCGUAGCAUGAUCCGAGGGGUCACUCAAUCUUCCAUUUCAAGCUUUGGGUUGAUAGCCUUUAGCUUUUAGUUGAAGAUUGAGAAUUUUUGAUAGAUUCACUUGGACAUGUGGCCGUGGCACGACGUGCGCGUAGCAAUGUCUAGGGAAUCGCUCGAGCCACCGACAAAGAACCUUGGGGUUGAUGACCUUUGGUUUCCAAGUCUGAAGGCUCGGGGACUUAAAACCUAUUGAGUCUAGAUGCAUUAGUAAGCCAAUAUCUCAUGCAUCCAUGAUAGUUUACAUAGGGUAGAGUCUGCCUUACCCUAUUAGGGACACUAUUCACGAGGGGAGGGAUCCAAUCCCUCUUUUUCUUUUUAUUGUUUUAUCUCUGUGUAUUAUUUUGCUACAAUGUGUUAUGUGAAUUUAUCUGAUUGAACUAACUUUUCUUAGUUUUUGUCUCCACUGCAUUCACAAACCUUAGAAAUAAGAGUCCUGACGUGGUAUUCGUUAAGGCAGACCACCCUUUGUAAAUAGCACGUUUAAAUUUUAGUUUAUCGCAUUAAUACUAUGCAUGUCAUUCUAGGCUUACCCCGGCAUUUAAAUGGGGCACUUUUAGAUCAUAUGUCAAGUAUUUCAUUGCAUAUUUAACCGCUUUAAUAAACUGGCAUCAUACAUCAGCUUUAGAGGGAAUGCCGCAUAGGGGAUCCCGCGUUAGGAAUAAGCCACAUUUUGUCUCGGAUAUAUAAUCCAAUGAGACUUGCACGUUUAUAUUUUUUGUACCAUCCAAAGUGGUAGUGCACAAGGUAAGGUAGGAUUCGAUCCCUUUCGUGUGACGGCAUUGAGAAUGAUGGAACAGUUUUUACGCAUUAGAAUAUGAGCCUUUAAUAAUCACUUUUUGGCCAUUUUAUCAGAAUUGGUAAAAAUCCCUUGCGUAAAGGACAUUAAGUUGAAAAAAUUCACAAAAUUUCACAUUGUUGAGACGAUAAAUAUAAUUGAGGCCAAAUCUUGAUUUUAGAAUGCUCAUAGACUAAUGAAUCACAAUGAAUUUUUUGAAACUACCAAUGGGCAGACAAUUCCAUCGAUUUUGAUAAAUCAUCAAUUUCAUUCAUUCCAUUUUUACAUCUAAGAUGAUUGAAUCGAUUUUUUCAUAGAUCAUUCGAUCCUUACAAUUUUGCUCAUUUUUAAUUUCAUUUUCAUUCAAUUUCAUUUUAGAUAAAUCAUCAAUUUCAUUCUGUUCAUUUGGUCAGUGAUCCAGUCGAUUUUUGAAUAAACUGUCAAUUCUAUCCAAUCCAUUUGAUCAAUUUAUACAUUUCUAGGACAAUACAAUCAAUUUUGAGUUAAUCAUCAAUUUCAUUCAAUUCAUUAUUCUUUUAAUCAAUUUUAUUUAUUUAUUUUUUAUUUUUGAAUAAAUUUUCAAUUUCAUCCAAUCCAUUGGAUCAGUUUUAUUCACUUUCAGGAUAAUCCAGUCAAUUUUUGAACUAACCAUCAAUUUCAUUCGAUUCAUUUAACCUAUUUAUUCUCUUUUAAAGUUUCGAUCUAUAGUUCACCGAAGAAAUUAGUCGAGACAUUUCAAUCCUUUCAAAAGUAAGUUUUAUACACUAAAUUGAUUUUGAUAUCAUUUUAUGUGUCAAUCAAAGCAGUCAAUUCAUUCGGACUUUGUCCUCAUUUUGUUAGGACAAAUUGUCUCUUGUCACUCCAAUUAUCCAGUCUUUUCAAAAUUGUCUUUUCAUUGAAUGUCAAUAAGUCGAUCGGAUCCAUCAGGUAUUGUAUGGUGCCUAUCCCAGAGGAUUGCAUUUUUCAUACUAGGCCAACCCUUGGCAUAAAAGGGUUCCCCAUAGGACAUGCAUACCGAUUUUGCAGUUUUUGCUUACUAAUUCUGGUAUUUUGCUUUUAUUUUUUCCCCCUCCCCUGCAUUUAUAAAAGUUGUUUCAACAAGGUAAAAAUAUUUUUCCUAUAUCUGAUAAUAUUUUUGGUCUGAUAAAUUUUGAAAAUUACAAGUGUUACUUGAUUCUUGGGCAGAUCCUACAAUGUGUAAAAAAAAAUAUGAUGAAAAAAUGAAUGAAAAAUCCAUUUGAAAACGCUAGUGUAAAGUAUCUCAAAAAUCUUUUGAUUCAUUGUUUCUAAUAUAUUUUGUCUCAAAAGAUAGAAAGAGAAAGUGUGUAUAUAUUUGAAAAUGUAUUCUUUAGAGAUUUUUAUUUGCUCACAUGUAUUAUAUUUGACAAAAAAUUUUCAAACAUUUGAAUAAUAAAGUUUUUAUUUAGACAAUUAUUGUUUUGUAUAUAUUCAUUCUUUAUUUGCUCAUUAAGAGAUUUCAUGAUAGAUUUUAAGGAAUAAGGCUAAAUUGAAAUUUUUCGACUUCUUGUUCGAAAUUCAUGAGUGCAUGUCAAAUUCCCAAAAUUCUUUGCAUACACUAGAUUUGUGGCCUAAACUAUUCAAUGAGGAUAGUGGAAAUAAAAGGGGUCAUUCAAAUUUGAUAGCUUGUCAUAAAAGAUCAACCCCAACACUUUUCAUUUUCAUUUUUUGUCCACUUUUAUUGAACCUCCAAGAUCAGUCGCAUUGGCUGACUAGUUUCAAAGUGAGAUAAUUUUUUCCGUGAAAAUGUUCGGUGUGUCUAACCAGAUUCAAUCCACAUCUAAGUGAAAGCAAAAAUGUACGUUAAUUCUUAUUUUAUUUUGAAAAUUUGGAAUGAUACUUUAGACUUUCGUCUCUCUAUCUAUACAGAUUCUAUCAUUUAUUUCCCCAUUUGAGACUUCAAAAAAUAGAGUUUCGUUUCAAAUAAAAGCCUCAAUGAUCAUGACCCUCCACGGAAAAAUUUUCGAAUGUCAAAUGGAAAUGGGUUUUUCCAACGGGUUAUUCUUUACUUUGGUUGUCAUGAGAAAUAAGAAUGAUGUUUUGGCCAUCGUUUCUACCAUCUAAACACUCUUAUCCUUUGCAUCCUCAUUUGAACCUAAAUUGGUGGUUCGUUUCAAAAGCACUUAUGAUUGCACCCCCACACUGGGGAAGGAGAUUUCAAAAAGAAAAAAGAAGAAGAAGGGAGAAAAUGCUACAAUUGGGGGAAUUUGACUCUAACAUUGAUAUUUGGUCUUCAUUAUCAAAAAGAAAGAGGGGCCAUUACACUCCAAAUUAGGGAGUUUUCAAUUUUAUCAUUGGCAUUGGGAUAUCAUUAUUGGUAAAAAAAAUAUAAUAAUUAAUUAAAAAAGAAAAGAAAAAGAGAGAAAAGAAAAAUGUGAAAAAAUGAAAAAUGAUGAAAAUGAAAAAAAAGAAAAAUGUGAAGACAUCCAAUGUUGAAUUCCCUCUAGUGAUUGAUUAAAAAAAAAAAAGAGAGUCAAAAUGGGUCCCGGAUUUUAAAUCCAAAACUGGGGCAAAUUUUGGGAAGAAGUGCGAUCUUAAGUGCAUUGUCCUUGAAAAUUUUAUUUUUUUAGCUAUCGUUGUCAAGCCACAUUACAAGUUCAUAAAGUCCAUUGUUGACUUAUUUUUCAUGACAAUUUGAAGUGAAAAUAUUGUCUCUAAGGAAUCUACCAAUCACUCAUGAUCAUAAGCCAUAACCUGUUUUCAUAUGUUUAGCUAUCGUUUCUACCCAUAUAUUACAAGCCUAUACAGCUUAUAUGUUGACUGAGUUUUCUCAAAAAAUAAGAGUGAUAAGUUAUUUGCUUUCACCAAGAUGUGAUAUUGAAUGUGUUGGAUACAAUUUGGCACAAAAAAAAAAAAAAAGAAAGACAAUCCUGUCAUACCAUUCCCCUGAGCCAUCUCAAAAUCUGAAUAAUAUCCAUUUGAUUGGUCCUAAAAGAUGAGCUCAUAAGAAAAGUGAUCCUUUUCCCUCAACACCAAUCCCAAAACAAGGAAGAGAUCUUUUUCAAUUUGGUCUUAUUUUGAGGGAUUUAUCAUGGAAUCUUCUACAUGAGUUUGGAUAUGAUAUUUAAAUUCUUCAUUUGAAAAAUGUAGUUUCUAUUCACAUUGUAUGUGAUUAUUUUGCAACUAAAAUAAGCCCAAAUCGGGGCAAAUUUUUUUUGUAAUAUAUUGUGAGAUUUCACCAAAUAAGUUCAAAUUGAGGCAAAAUUUUAUAAUACAUUUGUAGGGUAUGUCCAAGAUCAAGUAUAUAUUUUUAAAAUCUUGAUAAGUCAAUACUUUGCAUGAAUCUUAAUUGUUACAUCAUUGCUCAAAAAAAAAAAACAAAAAAAAAAAAUUGAAAAUUCAAUUGCUUUGAAAAAUUCCCCUUAUGCAGGUGUUUAUGGUUGAGAUCGAGGAAAAGACGCAAUUCAAAACUUGCAAAUUUGGAGAUUAAUCAUGAAUAAAAUGGAGCAAUACUACUUGCAAAGUGGAGGAUCGGCUAUUUUUGCUCAAAAGGAGUACAUACUUCAGCAGCCAACUUGAAAAAAAAAAAAGAGAAAAAAAAGAAAAGGAAAAAAAUGGAAAAAAGAAAGGGGAAUGAAAAAAAGGAAAAGAAAAGAAAAUGAAAAAAAAGAAAAGGAAAAAAUGAAAAAAGAAAAGGGGAAUGAAAAAAAAAAGAGAGAGAAUAAUAAAAAUGAAAAAGGAAAAGAAGAAAAAAAAAGGGAUUGAAAAAAAAAGAGAAAAGAAAAAGAGAGUUUUUCCUUCGAUUUUGCAAAUUUUGCAAUUGAACACUGGGAGCAUUUCAUUGGAGAUUACAUUGCCAAGUUGGGGCAACAUCUUAUGCUUCGAAAUGAAAGUGGUAAUACAUGCCAAAACGAGAUCCCGUCCUUGCACAUUUUGACAAAGGCUCGGCAGAAGAAAUCAAAUGGAUUAAGGAGCACACUGAGUUGCUGUCUCUUAUUGAUGAAAAAGAGGUUGAAUGUUUGUCAUGGACAAUGCUAUCAUCAAAGGAUGGUUCGUUGGCUAUGACAAGAAAGAUAAAUCUCGCUUAUUUGAAAUGAGGGAUAAGUUUUGAAGUAAAUUCUUCCGAUUCAAGAGGAGGUUAAAGAAAAGUUUGCUCCAACUUAGCAAGAGUCAUUUAUUGUUCAAAGAGUGCUAUUCGGAGGAACGCCCAUUCUCAUAGAACUGGAUGGACAGGUCUUUCCUCUGCCAAUCAAUUCAGACAUGUGUAAUAAAUUCUUUAUCUGAUUAUGUGAUUUUUCUUUUGAAAUACCAUCUAUGGCGGAUUAAAGGCGAGCCUUCUUCUUUUCUCUUUGAACAUCUUACUCCUAGUUUUCCCCAUUGAACCUCUAGAAUAAUUUAACCCUUCAUUUGAUAGCCCUCCUAAAGAUUGCAAACCCCAUCCUGGGGUAAAUUUUUAUCUCCCAUUUGUCAAAAAAAAAAAAAGAUUCAAAAGCCAAACUGGGGCAAUUUUUUCGAUUUUAAUACCCUCAUACUGUGGCAAAUAUUGAUAGAAUGCGGUCUUAGGGUUUUUGAAACCUCUUUGAAGAUUUUGCUUUGAAGCCUUAACACUCUUUCUACACCCCACAUGACCCCAUCAUAAAAAUCAUAAAGUCUCGACCUCCGCUUUAGUGGUAUUUCUAAUAAAAAUCACUUAAUCAAAUGGCAAUUGAUGUCAGUACACCUUCACCAUUUUUACAUGGGAAGGGUUGUCGCGCUGAUGCCAUCCUUUCUUUAAAUACAUUUCUGAGUUGAUAAAUGUCGUUAACAAGAUUUGUUCAUUAGCGAAAACCUGAAAGGGUGUCUUCAAAAGAAUGAAAAAAAAAGAAAAAAAAAGAAAAAAAAGAGAAUGAUGAAAAGAAAAAAAAAGAAGAAAAUGAAAACAAAAUAAAAUAAAAAGGUGUGACCUUUGUGAAAAUCCGAAAGGUUGAGGUCAUCAAGGUGAGAUUUUGGAGCACAAGAGAAUCAUGAACGAAAAGCGGGUUGCUGACACUUGAGAUAGUUGCCACUCAUUCAAAUCUGGUCAUUAGAAAAGUUGAUUUGUGGUACAAAGUGAGGUAUGGCUGACUGAUGCUAGAAAAUUGAGAAGAUUCAAAAUAAGUUGCAGCACAACUCUUGAGGAGCAGUUUUGACAUCGAAGGAUCAUGCUUGCAUAGUUCUCAGGGCCAAAAGGAGCACAAGGAAUCACAUGGUAUUCGUAUCAUAUGAUCAUUCUUUUUGUUUUUUCGAAAGCAUGAAAAAUGUGGCAUUCGUUAAACAUGAUUUACACUGGGGCAAAUAUCAAGAGGAAUGAGCUCCAAUUUUGGUAAUGCAUUUUAAAUCGGCUUUUGUGAAAAAAAAAAAAAGUCUUUUAAAAUCGAGAGGACAGUGACAUAUGUAUGUACCUCUCAAAUCUCUUGAAAUGAGAGUUGUCAUUGGUAUUCUUCAAGUUUUAGAAUUUGUCACCUUUUUUUUUUUUCAAAAAAAAAAAACAAAAAAAAAUGUGUGUGUGCUUCUUUCAUUUGAAAAAAAAGAAAAAAAAAGAAAAAGAUUACAAAUCCACCAACUUGAGCCACAAUGUCAAAAUGCAAAGCAGAUGAUUGGUUGAACAAAAUUGAUUCAAAUUGAGUCAAUUUCUGAAAUGAUUUUUCAGGUAAGUAUUCAAGAACUUUUUCAUGCAAUAACGUGUGUCAUGUCUUUUAUCACCGUUAGCAUCGAGUAUUGACUCACUAGCGUGUGUUUUGCUUUUCAUAUCCGUUAGUAUCGGGUCCAACCCACUAACGUGUCUUUUAUCACCGUUAGUAUCGAGUAUUGACUCACUAACGUGUGUUAUUUUUUUUCACAUCCGUUAGCAUCGGGUUCAACCCACUAACGUGUCUUUUGUAUAUCAUGUUGGGAUUCGGCAGGUUUGGGUUUUAUCCCACUGACCGUUUUUAUUGUCGUUGGGCAUGGGUUUUAUCCCUCCAACCUCGGCAGGCUCGGGUUUUAUCCCACUGACCGUUUUUAUUGUCGUUGGCAUGGAUUUUAUCCCUCCAACCUGCCCUCCAACCUCGGCAGGCUCGGAUUUUAUCCCACAAUCUCGGCAGGCUCGGGUUUUAUCCCACUGACCGUUUUUAUUUUCGUUGGGCAUCGGUUGUAUCCCUCCAUCGCGGCAGGCUCGGGUUUUAUCCCACUGACCAUUUUUAUUUUCGUUGGGCAUGGGUUUUAUCCUUCCAACCUCGACAGGCUCGGGUUUUAUCCCACUGACCGUUUUUUAUUGUCGUUGGGCAUGGGUUGUAUCCCUCCAACCUUGGCAGGCUCGGGUUUUAUCCCACUGACCGUUUUUAUUGUCGUUGGGCAUGGGUUGUAUCUCUCCAACCUCGGCAGGCUCGGGUUUUAUCCCACUGACCGUUUUUUAUUGUCGUUGGGCAUGGGUUGUAUGCCUUCAACCUCGGCAGGCUCGGGUUUUAUCCCACUGACCGUUUUUAUUUUCGUUGGGCAUGGGUUUUAUCCUCCCCUCGGCAGGCUCGGGUUUUAUCCCACUGACCGUUUUUAUUUUCGUUGGGCAUGGUUUUAUCCCUCCAACCUCGUUGGGCAUGGGUUUUAUCCCUCCAACCUCGGCAGGCUCGGAUUUUAUCCCACUGAUCGUUUUAUUUCAUUGGGCAUGGGUUUAUCCCUCCAACCUUGGCAGGCUCGGGUUUUAUCCCACUGACCGUUUUUAUUUCGGUGGGCAUGGGUUUUAUCCCUCCAACCUCGUUGGGCAUGGGUUUUAUCCCUCCAAUCUCGGCAGGCUCGGGUUUUAUCCCACUGACCGUUUUAUUUCAUUGGGCAUGGGUCUUAUCCCUCCAACCUUGGCAGGCUCGGGUUUUAUCCCACUGACCGUUUUUAUUUCAGUGGGCAUGGGUUUUAUCCCUCCAACCUCGUUGGGCAUGGGUUUUAUCCUUCCAACCUCGGCAGGCUCCGGGUUUUAUCCCACUGACCGUUUAUUUCAUUGGGCAUGGGUUUUAUCCCUCCAACCUUGGCAGGCUCGGGUUUUAUCCCACUGACGAUUUUUAUUUUCGGGGCAUGGGUUUUAUCCCUCCAACCUCGGCAGGCUCGGGUUUUAUCCCACUGACCGUUUUAUUUUCAUUGGGCAUGGGUUUUAUCCCUCCACCUCGGUAGACUCGGGUUUUAUCCCACUGACCAUUUUUAUUUUCGUUGGGCAUGGGUUUUUAUCCCUCCAACCUUGGCAGGCUCGGGUUUUAUCCCACUGACCGUUUUUAUUGUCGUUGGGCAUGGGUUUUAUCCCUCCAACCUCGGCAGGCUCAGGUCGUAUCCCACUGACCGUUUUUCAUGAUUAUUUGAUUAAUGAUAGUGCUUUAUCAUUCAUUUUGUAUUUCAUGUUUAGAAGUUUUGAGAGUUCAAACUUUUCUGAUUUUUUCAAAAUCACAGAUGGUCAAUGCACUUGUUUCAUUGUGAUUCACUUAAUUCGAACUACGUUUGACCUGAUUCCCAUGGUGGGAUACGUAGGCAACUCUACAUGGGUUCGGUCACAUUUUCUGCAAUGUUAUUGCAUCAUUUUGUCCAAUAAUUUCAGCCAAGUGUUGGCUUGUUUAUUUUAGCUCAGGUACAGCUAGAAGUGACAGGUAAGCAAUUUGGUGUCUACGUCUUUGUCUUGAGUUUCUUUGAAACUCUAGACAAAGAGGGCAAGCUGUAGACACCAAAUUUUUGUCAAUUUUUAAUAUUUUCUCAAGAUUUUUCUAUUUAAUGAAUUAUUUAUUUUCUAGCAUUUUAAUGUGCAUUUUCUCAUUUUUGCAGGUUUGCUUGAAAAAAAAGAAAAAAAAGAGAAAAAAAAGAAACAAACAAACAAAAAAAAAAAAACAAAACAACAAACAACAAAAAGAAAACAAAAAAAAAUCAUCAUAAUCAUUUUCUCUACCAAAAUACAUUUAACCCAUUUCACACUCAAUGGCCAUGGACUGGUCUUUUCAUUAGUUGAGAGAUCAUCAUUUUGGAAGAUUGAGCACACAAACUCCAUUUUGGCUACAAGUAUCUCUCGGCUCUCUUUGGCUGCCAGGGGACAGACACAAAAAAAAAACACUCCAGCUCUCAAUAUCGACUCUCUGGCCUCUCUCAGACGGACAUAACAAGAAGAAAAAAAAACACUCCACUCUUUGUGAACUCAAAAAAAAGGAAAAAAACUCUCGGCUCUCUCGGCUCUUUCUUUUUUUAACACACUCCACAAAUCAAACAAGAAGGGGGGGAACUAGCGGUCAGGCCAUUGAAGUUAGGAAUUUCCCCACAAAGCUCAAACGAGUGACUGCAAUAUUCUGGAGGUAGUUUCUUUCUCGUUUUUUUUUAGUUUUGUUUUUCACCGUACACUCAUAUUUUGUUGCUUAUUUUCUCCUGUUUGGUUGCCUUUCAGUGUUGUUGUUCUGUUUGUUAAAAUUUUGGGAAAUGGCAUGAGCCAGUUUUAGGAAAAGGAAAUGUUUAUUAUGUAUGCAUAUUAACUGUUUGGUAAAAUGCCGAAAACGGAAAAAUGGAAAAAGCUGAACAUUGUGCAUGUUGUUGUCAAAACGGAUGACCGUUAGCUAGCACCAAUAUCUGAAAAUGUUGGGUUAUUUAAGUAUUUUGAAGUUUUGAGCCUUUAUAGGCAUUGAAAUAUUUUCUUUAUUUUUGGGGCUGUUUGGUGGGUGUCAAACCUCCAAAAAUAAAGUUAAAAAUAACAGCCUAAUUGCCAACCAACACAAUCUCAAAUUUUAUUCGUAAACAGGGCAAGUAGGGUCGUCUCCUCAGGGAACUGGUAGGCAAAUCACACAGGAAAAUGGGGGGGAAUUUUUAGCAAUAGUAUCAACUAAUUAAAAAGGAAUAAAAACUGAAAUUCAAAGUUGAGUAAGAUAGCGAGAACCAAAUUACACAAAUAAUAAUUAAUUAAAACAAUCUAGUCAAGGAAUUAAUCUUGGAAUCCAAGCACACAACUGAUCACAGAUACAAGGGACAAUUCAUAUACUCACGAAUAAACUGGUUAUAGUGGUCAAGCGAUGCGCCCAACCACCAAUCUUUUCUUAAUUUUAUGGUAGUCAAGAGACGCUCAUAAACUACCCUCUUGUGACUAGACAACCCCAGAAACGCUCACAAGAUUUAAUGUAGCCACAGUAUUAGGAAUUAGAAAGACCCAAUUCUAAAUGACAAACACACAUGCGGAUUUGUUUAGGCUAGAUUAAUUAUCCCCACGAUCCAAAUUAGACCGCUUGCGAGGCGGUGCAAUUGUCUCGUUUGCCACUAAUCAAGAUGCUUAAAGGCGACGCGCCAACAUCCUAAUUGGCUAUCAAUUAUUUAGACAAUCGAAUAACAGGUCUAAUUAUCCAAUAAAUCUAAACAAUAAUAACUCAGGGAAAAAAUAGAGAAUAAUCAAAUACCCAUGAACAUAUAAAUUAAAAAUAAGCAAUUAAAACGAUCUCACAGUUAUGGUGCCCCGAUCCUCGAUUUAUUCCUCAACUAGAUAAACGAUCUAGUCUUGCCGCAUAGUCAUGACAACAAAGUCAAUCAAAGUUUUCAUGGAGUUUUGUUAAUUGAAGAAGGAGUAAAAGAUUUUUCGCCGCUAGUCUCCUAACAAAGAAGAAAACAAAAGUAGAGAAAAAGUCCAAGUCCAAGAUCCAUCCCUAGUCUAUUGCUGUCUUCUUUUUAUUGUUUGCGCCGCCGUUUCCUUUUUGCUAGCCGAAAUAAUAUGUGGGUUUAUUCAAACAAUUUGCUUCCUUUUCCCCCAUUGGAUUGUUACCAAAAGUCAUCUUCCAAUUCUAUUUCCUAAUCCCACGUAAGUUUAAAGUAUGGCUCCAAGGAAAGGCGGUGGCCCCAGGAAUAGGACCCGCAAUCCGGAUUUUUCACGCAACUCUGCGUUGUCUGGCGUGGGCACGCCAGAGAAGGCGCAGUCUUCUGGAAUUUGCCCUUUUUUAUCACUUUUAACACCAAUUGCCUAUAAGUAACACAAAUACCCAUUAUGAGCAGAAAUCCAAUACUUUGCAUAAUAAACUGCCACAAUUAAGACCAAAUAACCACAAAUAAAAUGCAUAAUUAUAUCCCUAUCAAAUUCCCCCACACCAAGACAAUGCUUGUCCUCAAGCAUUUCAAACUUUAAAUACACAACCCAGCGAGCAAACAUUUUUGCAGCAGUUGAAUUCAAAACAAUGGCUAUUAAUCAAAGCAACUAUUGCCAAUGUAUGAUUUAGAUAACUGUCAAGUACUGAUGACAAAUUUUACGAGAUAACUCUCCAACUAGCUUUUAAAACCAAUGACUCUUUCAAAUCCAGACUAACUAAUCUAAGAAUAGAAAAUAUCCAACCAACAUUCUUUAAUAACUGGUCCAACUAUUAAGCAAAAUCUCAACAUAAAGACUCAUGGAUCCGCAGGCAAUACAAUUAUUCACAUACUUUCAUGCUCGUAUACUUUUUUUUUUUUUCAUCAUUUUCAUUUUUUUUUCUGUUUCUUUUUCCUUUUUUUUUUCUUGAAGGAAGUGCUUAGUCUUGAGCCAUUCAAGUCUUUUGACGCGAACUCCGACAUCUCUCCAAUGAAGGAGUCCGGUUACUCAACUUUAACCGCUUAAAGACCACAUAGUCAUAGUUAUCGCUGCUUUUUGACGCGAAAAUCGACACUUUAGGUGAAGACCCCCAGUUACUAGUCAAUGAUAACCAGCGGAGUAUAGCCGAAUAUUAUUCACAAAAAAACACCCAAGUAAAAUUAAAACCAUGCAAGCCUGCUUCAUUUCCUUAACAUGGAGAACUAAGAUUAAUAGUUGAACCAAUUCACACAAAAAAUGUCAGAAAAAUAUUUACAAUGCCUAGAAAAGUUAACCAAAAGAAAUUGCAAGAGUCACAAAAUCUCAAAUAUUUACCAGAGAGUCAUCUUAAAAUUUUACCAUAUCAUACUUAACAUAUUAUCAUCUAAAACCGUAACAAUAGUUAAAUUUGAAAAUUUAGCCAUUGCUUAUCAGGGCUAACCACAAAAAUCCAAAAGGCAUGGUAAAGGUUUCUUCUUUUUUUUUUUUUUUUGGCAGAAGGAAAAGCAGUAAGAAGGAAAAGCUAGACUACUCCCCCCACACCUAAAGUCUACAUUGUCCUCAAUGUAAGAACGAAAAGUUGAAGUCAAGUGAAGGGGGCAAAAAACUUCCCUGAAUGAAUAAAAACUGCAGCAAAACACCAUGGUAGAGGAGGUGUCAGGGACUGGCAGCGUGGAACCUCCGACGGUAGUGUGGUGUAGCGUUGUUUCAGAUGGAAGCGGAAGUCUUCAAUCCAAGCCCGUGUCCCCAGAGUUGACUAGAGUUGCUGUAAGGAGUGACCACGCCUUAUAAGGCAGAGUCUUCUGCCCAAACAUUUCUACGGUGUUCAAGAGCAUCACUUAUAGGGCGUGGGCAUGCCUUGUAAAUCCAAGUCUCCUGCCCAACACCAAAAAAAACACUUGCAAUGAAACAAAACAACCCAAAAUCAACGAAAAAUGAAAGAGAACUAUAACAAAAAAAUGGAGGCCUUGGGUUGCCUCCCAAGAAGCGCCUUUCUUUAACGUCUUUGGCUAGACGACUCCACAGUGAGCAAUUAGGCAUAGAUAGGAUCUAUCAAGUGUACCUCUUCCAAAGUGCCAAUGUCUGAAACAUCAACAAACGGUUUUAAACGAUGACCAUUAACCGUAAAACUCUUAUUAGUCUCUAAACUCUGGAUUUCAACCACACCAUUGGGAAAAACAUUGACUACCACAUAUGGUCCAAUCCAACGAGAUUUUAACUUACUUGGCAUGAAUUUCAACUGUGAAUUGAACAAGAGUACCUUUGGUCCUGGAGAAAAGUGUUUCGCACGCAAUAGGCGGUCAUGAAACUGCUUGGUACGCUCUUUGUACAAACGUGCAUUAUCAUAUGCUUCAAGACGAAUUUCCUCCAACUCCUGGAGUUGGAGUUUUCUCUCUUUACCAUAUCUAUCCGCAUGCAAAUUGCAUUGCUUGACUGCCCAGAAUGCACGAUGCUCAAUAGCCACAGGUAAAUGACACAUCUUACCAAACACCAACUUAUAUGGGGACAUUCCAAUGGGCGUUUUAUACUCCGUUCGAUAUGCCCACAAAGCAUCAUCCAAUCGCAAGCUCCAAUCCUUACGGUUGGGGUUAACCGUUUUCUCCAAUAUGCUCUUGAUCUCUCGAUUGGAGAUUUCAGCUUGCCCAUUGGUCUGAGAAUGAUAUGUUGUACUCACACGAUGGUGCACUCCAUAUUUUCUCAUGAGAGCUGCAAUGGUGCGAUUGCAGAAAUGGGUACCUUGAUCACUGAUGAUGGCUCUCGGCACCCCGAACCUACUAAAAAUGUGGGAUUUGAGAAAUUCUACAACAAUUUGAGAAUCAUUAGUCCGGGUAGCCUUUGCUUCUACCCAUUUCGAGACAUAGUCAACUGCUAACAGAAUAUACAAAAAUCCAAAAGAGUUAGGAAAAGGUCCCAUAAAGUCCAUACCCCAAACGUCAAAUACUUCACAAAAUAACAUAGAUACUUGAGACAUUUCAUCCCUAUGAGACAAACUUCCAAAAUUUUGACAUUUUUCACAGCUUUUACAAAAUGCAUAAGCAUCACGAAACAAUGUUUCCCAAUAAAAGCCACAAUCAAGGAUUUUUCUAGCAGUUCUCUUAGGUCCAAAAUGGCCACCACAUGCAAAAUUAUGACAAUGAGCAAGGAUAGAAGGAAUUUCACUUUCAGGUACACAUCUACGAAUAAUUUGAUCAGAGCCUAUUUUCCAUAGAUAUGGCUCGUCCCAAAUGUAGUAUCGAGUAUCAUGGACUAUCUUAUCCCUCUUACUCUUACUCAUGCCAAUAGGAAAUUUAUGACUGACCAAAAAGUUCACAAUAUCUGCAUACCAAGGUUCCUUACAUUUGAGAUAGAAAAGAUGUUCAUCAGGAAAUACCUCAGAUAUGGGAACUGCUUCCUCUUCUCUUAUCAAUCUACUCAAAUGGUCAGCUACUGAAUUAUCCACCCCUCUCCGAUCCUUGAUCUCCCAGUCAAAUUCUUGUAGUAAGAGCACCCAACGAAUGAGUCUUGGCUUGGACUCCUUUUUUGACAGGAGAUACUUCAAAACUGCAUGAUCAGAGUAAACCGUUACUUUUGACCCCAAUAGAUAUGAUCUAAAUUUCUCAAAAACGAAAACAAUAGCUAGAAGCUCUUUCUCCGUGGUGGUGUAGUUGCAUUGAGUUGGUGUCAAUGUUUUUGAUGCAUAGUAUAUCACGUGACUACACCUCCCACUCUGUUGUCCAAGCACAGCUCCUACGGCAUACUGACUGGCGUCACACAUGAGCUCAAAGGAUAGCUUCCAGUCUAGGGGUUGGAUGAUUGGUGCCGUGGUCAACAUUCCCUUGAGCGUGUCAAAGGACAAUUUGCAAUCAUCUCCAAAGUUGAAUGGCACCUCCUUUUGAAGCAGGCGAGACAAUGGUUGAGCAAUUUUUGAAAAAUCUUUUAUGAAACGCCUGUAAAAACCUACAUGGCCUAGAAAACUACGAAUAUCCUUGACAUUAAUAGGGUAAGGUAGACUAGUGAUCAAAUCAAUUUGAGCCUUAUCUAUCUCAAUACCCCUUGAUGAAACAACAUGGCCCAAAACUAUGCCUUCCUUAACCAUGAAAUGACAUUUUUCAUAAUUAAGAACCAAGUUUGUUUCAAUGCAUCUUUUCAAAACUUUUGUUAAAUGGUCUAGGCACUGAUUAAAAGAAUCACCAUAUACUGUAAAAUCAUCCAUGAAAAUUUCAAUGCAAUUAUCAAUCAUAUCAGAGAAAAUACUCAUCAUGCAUCUUUGAAAUGUUCCAAAGCAUUACACAAACCAAAAGGCAUACGGCGAUAUGCAAAAGUUUCAAAAGGGCAAGUAAAAGUGAUUUUAUGUUGGUCCUCUUGAGCAACAAUAAUUUGAUAAUAUCCAGAGUAACCAUCUGAAAAGCAAAAGAAACACUUACCUGCCAACCUCUCAAGCAUUUCAUCAAUAAAUGGGAGUGGAAAGUGGUCUUUCCUAGUUGCGACAUUUAACUUUCUAAAGUCAAUGCACAUUCUCCACCCAUUUUGCAAUCUCAUUGGCACUAAUUCAUUCUUUUCAUUUUUCACCAAUGUGAUUCCAGUCUUCUUGGGAACAACAUGGACUGGACUUACCCACUGGCUGUCAGAGAUAGGAAAAAUAAUUCCUAAUUCUAAGAGUUUGAGAAUCUCUUUCAUCACCACCUCCUUCAUUGCGGGAUUGAGCUUGCGUUGAUGCUCUCUCACGGGUUUUGCGUCCGACUCCAAAAGGAUGUGAUGCAUGCAAAUGGAUGGAUUGAUGCCUUUGAUGUCUGCUAAUGUCCAUCCAAUUGCUGGUUUAAAUUCCCGUAAGACCCGUAAGAGCCUCUCUUCUUGCAACGCAGUUAAAUCAUUAGCAAUGAUUACAGGCAAAGUCUUGUUAUCUCCCAAGUAAGUAUAUUUCAAAUGCUCGGGCAGUUCUUUCAAUUCCACAUUAGGUGCCUGUUGAACAGAAGGUAGAAUUCUUUCAUUAGAAGUGGGUAAUGGUAGAAAAGAAUUUUCAAACCUGCCUGGAAGCGGAUGUAGUGAAUGUAAGGACAUGAUAGCUUCUUUGACCUCCUCCUCCUCCAUGUCGUCCACUUCCAAAUUGGUCUUGCCUUGUUGUAAGACAAAGUCCAACUUGUUCCCCAUGAAAUUUUGUUCAAAAUUCUCUUGCACAAUGGUAUUAGCCAUGCAAACAAAAUUUACAGACUUAGUAUCCACAGGAUGCUUCAUUGCAUCAAAAAUAUUGAAAGUGACCUUCUCUCCAUCAAAUUCCACAGAUAAAGUUCCUUCAUGUACAUCUAUUUUAGUCCUUGCUGUACUCAUGAAGGGUCUACCCAAAAGAAUCACUGCUGAAUUAGUAGAGUAUUCAUCAUUCAUAUCAACAAUGUAAAAAUUCACAGGAAAAAUGAAUUCAUUGACCUUUACUAGAACAUCUUCAACCAGACCCUCAGGGUAGACAAUAGACCUAUCUGCUAGUUGAAUGAUUACCCUAAUUUCUUUGAGGGGUCCUAAAUUCAAAACUUUAAAAAUUGAAAGAGGCAUGACAUUUAUUGAAGCACCUAAGUCAAGCAUGCUUUUUUCAAUUCUUUGAUUGCCAAUUAUGCAUGGUAUAGUAAACAUACCUGGAUCCUUGCAUUUCUGGGGCAACUUCCUUUGAAACAUCGCUGAGACAUUCUCCCCCACUUUCACCUUGUCAUCCAAACUCAACUUAUUGCGAUUAGUGCAUAAACCCUUCAAAAAUUUAGCAUAUUUAGGCAAUUGCCUAAUAGCAUCCAGCAGAGGAAUAUUGAUCUCCACUUUCCUGAAGGUGUCCAAAAUCUCUUUCUCAGAUUCUUCCUUUUUAGCUUUUGUGAACCUGCUAGGAAAAUGAGGAGGAAUGUCAACUUUCUUUGAGAUUUCAGAUGAUUGUUUCUCUUCUUCCUCUUCCACCUUCCUGGGCACUUCUUCUUCUCUGGCGUGGGCACGUCUAGGAGACUGUACCUCCUUGCCACUCCGUAAUUGCAUUGCACUGGUAUUCUCCUUGGGAUUAGGAAUUACUUGAGAUGGUAACUUCCCUCUAUUGCUAUUUUCCAGGUUGCUCAUGGAAGUUGCCAAUUGGGACAUUUGUGCUUCCAAAUUCCUAAUGCUAGCACGAGUCUCUUGUUGAAAUUUGUGAGACUCUUGUUGAGAUCUUUGAGCCUCUUGCUGUAAUUGACUCGUGUUUUGGGCCAGUGACUUCACCAUAUCUUCAAGAGACAUGUUUGAAUUGGAAGUGGACGGUUGUUGCACUGGUGGUCGUGGUUGGACAUGUUGUUGAAAACCAGGGGGUUUUGAAGCAUAGCUAAAGUUAGGAUGAUUUCGCCACCCUGGGUUGUAAUUGGGUGCAAAAGGAUCAUUCCUUCGUGGAGGUGGUCCAGAAAAAUCUCCCACUAUGUUGGCUUGUUCAGGUGAAUCCUCCUGGAGAGUUGGGCACAUGUCAAUCAUGUGUCCGGGAGUAGCAUAGAUACCACAAGUCUUCACAGAUUGUAAUUGCCCCCUUGCCAUUUGACGCACCAGAGAGGUAAGCUCAGAUAGUUUACCCUCUAAGUCAGAGUGAUUCACUUCAUUGACCCUUCUUAUUGCUCCAUCAGCUCUCACUCCAAAUUGUUGGGAAUUUUCAGCCAUGGUGGAGAUCAAUAACGUGGCUUCGUCUGUGGUCUUGUUCACCAGAGCACCGCCACUGGCUACAUCUAACAUGCUCCUAUCCAUGGGUGAUAAUCCCUCGUAGAAAUAUUGUAUUAAGAGCUGGUCCGGGAUUUGAUGAUGUGGGCAACUGGCACACAGUUGUUUAAAGCACUCCCAGUACUCAUAUAGAGUUUCCCCAUUCGCCUGCCUAACUCCACAUAUUUCUUUCCUUAUAUUGGCGGCUCUAGAGGCAGGAAAAAAUUUCUCGAGGAAUUUUCUCUUCAAUUCUUCCCACGUAGUAAUGAAUCCUGAUGGCAGGUAAAAUAACCAAUCUUUAGCCUUAUCUGCCAAAGAGAAAGGGAAGGCUCUUAACUUGAUGUGGUCCUCAGUGACUCCUUGAGGUCUCAUUGUGGAGCACACCACAUGAAAUUCUUUCAAGUGUUUAUGUGGGUCUUCACCUGCAAUACCACGAAAAGUAGGAAGUAAGUGAAUAAGACCAGACUUAAGCUCAAAUGCCUCUUCCGUGUUAGGAAAUGUAAUGCAUAAUGGCUGUUGGUUCACGUUAGGAGUUGCCAACUCCCUCAAAGUUUUUGGGGCUACCAUUGCUACUCGGGGAAUAUGCACUUUGUUUUCUUCAGAUUCGUUUGAUGAAUCACUGGAAAUAAACUCUUGCUCAGAUUCUGAAGGUGACGUUGAAUCUUGUUGCUUACGCAACUUUGCCUCCUUAGUCAACCUUCUUGCAGUCUUCUCGAUCUCUGGAUCAAAUUCUAAUUCUCCUGUACGAGAAGAUCGAGGCAUAAAAUAAAAAAGAACAAAUAAAUAAAAAUAAAAACUAAAACCUGUGCAAUAAGUCAAUUAAAACACCGGUUCCCCGACAACGGCACCAAAAUUUGGUGAUGGUCAAACCUCCAAAAAUAAAGUUAAAAAUAACAGCUUAAUUGCCAACCAACACAAUCUCAAAUUUAAUUUGUAAACAGGGCAAGUAGGGUCGUCUCCGCAGGGAACUGGUAGGCAAAUCACACAGGAAAAAGGGGGGAAUUUUUAGCAAUAGUAUCAACUAAUUAAAAAGGAAUAAAAACUGAAAUUCAAAGUUGAGUAAGAUAGCGGGAACCAAAUUACACAAAUAACAAUUAAUUAAAAUAACCUAGUCAAGGAAUUAAUCUUGGGAUCCAAGCUCACAACUGAUCACAAAUACAAGGGACAAUUCAUAUAAUCACGAAUAAACUGGUUAAAGUGGUCAAGCGACGCGCCCAACCACCAAUCUUUCCUUAAUUUUAUGGUAGUCAAGAGACGCUCAUAAACUACCCUCUUGUGACUAGACAACCCCAGAAACGCUCACAAGAUUUAAUGUAGCCACAGCAUUAGGAAUUAGAAAGACCCAAUUCUAGAUGACAAACACACAUGCGAAUUUGUUUAGGCUAGAUUAAUUAUCCCCAUGAUCCAAAUUAGACCGCUUGCGAGGCGGUGCAAUUGUCUCGUUUGCCACUAAUCAAUAUGCUUAAAGGCGACGCGCCAACAUCCUAAUUGGCUAUCAAUUAUUUAGACAAUCGAAUAACAGGCCUAAUUAUCCAAUAAAUCUAAACAAUAAUAACUCAGGGAAAAAUAGAGAAUAAUCAAAUACCCAUGAACAUAUAAAUUAAAAAUAAGCAAUUAAAACGAUCUCACAGUUAUGGUGCCCCGAUCCUCGAUUUAUUCCUCAACUAGAUAAACGAUCUAGCCUUGCCGCAUAGUCAUGACAACAAAGCCAAUCAAAGUUUUCAUGGAGUUUUGUUAAUUGAAGGAGUAAAAGAUUUUUCCCCGCUAGUCUCCUAACAACGAAGAAAACAAAAGCAGAGAAAAAGUCCAAGUCCCAGAUCCAUCCCUAGUCUAUUGUUGUCUUCUUUUUAUUGUUUGCGCCGCCGUUUCCUUUUUGCUAGCCGAAAUAAUAGGUGGGUUUCUUCAAACAAUUUGCUUCCUUUUCCCCCAUUGGAUUGUUACCAAAAGUCAUCUUCCAAUUCUAUUUCCUAAUCCCACGUAAGUUUAAAGUAUGGCUCCAAGGAAAGGCGGUGGCCCCAGGAAUAGGACCCGCAAUCCGGCUUUUUCACGCAACUCUGCGUUGUUUGGCGUGGGCACGCCGGAGAAGGCGCAGUCUUCUGGAAUUUGCCCUUUUUAUCACUUUUAACACCAAUUGCCUAUAAGUAACACAAAAUACCCAUUAUGAGCAGAAAUCCAAUACUUUGCAUAAUAAACUGCCAAAAUUAAGACCAAAUAACCACAAAUAAAAUGCAUAAUUAUAUCCCUAUCAGUAGAUUAAGUGGUCACCAAACAAGACAAGAUGAACACUUUUUUACCUCAAGAUCAGUUGCACCAUCUCCAAUCAUGACCAGCAAUUUAUAUCCAUUAGCCUGAAAACAUUAUCAAGUAUUUGGUCAAUAUUCUAAAAAUCAAUACACAACAAACAACUACUAAGAGUUCAACUUACCUUCUUUAUCUGCUGAACAGCAAUAGCUUUUCUUCCACGCCUAGACUUUGGCUCAUUUGGAUCAAGCCCCAAAAACUCUUCAGCACUUCCAAAAAGAAGUUGAUUGGCAAAAGUGUGGUCAACAGGAAUAGAUUUACCAAGUUUGAGGUCUAAAUCUUUAUGUCUUGCUAUUACUGUAUGCAGACUUUAGAUAAAGUCAGUUAUUGGAUUCUAGAUAUUGGACCAUGUUAAACUCAAGUUAACAUGUAGUAAAAAAAGGUACCCCACGCUUUUUUUAUGUCUCAAAAAAAGGUACUCUAAAAAAAGUACUUUUUAAAGUACUUUUUAAAAAUUUUUAUAAUUUUUGAAAAACUAAUUUUUGAAAAAUUUGUGGAUCCAAACAGUGCCGCUCAACUGCAAAAUGACAAAAAUAAAAAAAUAAAAUAAAAUCUAUUUUAGAUCUAGUGAUCAACUAAAAUUCAAGCAGCGUCGUUUUUUCAUAGUAAAUUUUUCAUAGGUGUAACUAUAUAAUAGGAAAAAACUGAAUUACGACAUCGUUUUCUGAAGUUUUUUUUUUUUUUAAUUUGUAGAGGGCAGCUGGGGAUGGGGCGGAGGGGGCCUGGGGUUGUGAUUUCGAUUUCCGGCAUAAUUUCAAAAAGGGAGGAAAAUCAAGAAUGCUACCAGACUCUCUAACAACCUCCUUGUUAUUUUCCAGUUGAACUCCUUUGAAAAUUUCUCAUGAAUUUCAGGAUCACAUAACAUGGAGUAGCAGCACUUGCUAAGAGGUUGAGAUUGGCUAAAACAUUCGUUUCCUCAUCUCACCUACCUUAUCUUCUGGUUGGCAUUCUUAUUCCUUUCCCUCUAUCCCAUCUUUUCAAGCAUCUAUCUGUACUGAACUGAUACAUUAAUUUGUUUUCCUCAUUCGACCAAUCAAUUAUUUUCAUUAAUUACUUUUUUCUUUUCAUGCCCUGAAAUCGGGCGCAACUGUACCUAUCCUUUGGUAUCCUCACUCAUUACUGUUUCAGCAAAUCUUUAGUAGGUUGGCCUUUGUUUUCCAAUUUUUCUUUGUUUGCUUGCUACAUAUAUGAUGCUUAUAUUGGUUUGGCUUCAGAUCUUUCAGUAAAAGUAUAGAGAUUUGAUUUAAUUGUCUUUGACUGCAAUUUCUGAUCUUACUUCAUAGAAGUUAUUUGGUUAUUUUUGGUUGGUUAUUGAAUGAUUGAAGGCCUAUCUAUCAUCUAAGAGUGGUCGGAAGUUAAAUUUAUAUGCCAUCUGUAUUAAAACUUAUAGUAUUGAUUCUUGUAGCCACCUGUACAAGUUCAUGUGGAAAUGGAGUUUCCUUCAUUUCCUUAAAGCUCGCGUUUUGCUACAUUUUGGAUUUGAUCCACAUCCCUUCUUUACGCUUUUUGUUGCAACACUUCACUAAAUACUAAUGGUUAUUGUGUUUAGUUGAAUUUUAAUGCAAAUUGUUGAUGAAUUUUAUGAUUGCCGGUAUGGAUUUUUGGCAUUGAAAAUGAUAUAACAUGUUCUUAUUUUUUGUUACAAUCAGGGAGCUUUGAUGGAGGGAUUAAUUAGUGCACAAUUGAACCCAAUUCGCACCUAUUCUACACAAGAAAGUUCUGUUUUUUUUCCCUACAUUUUCUCUGAGGAUAAAGACAAUUGGCUUUGGUAAUAAAUUUGUGGCAAUGAAAAAUCUUAAAUCAAUGCUUCAGUUCAGCCAUUGGAGGCCUCAAAAGAGGGCCAGUUCAACAAAGCAUUGCUAUCAAAAGGUAAUUUCAAGGUCUGAGAAAAACUUUAUUUCUUGUAUGUAAUGUAUAAAAUAUGAUGACAAAUUAGAUUUAAUAGUAUGUACGAAUGAAGACAAUGAUGAGUUUUAAUUGGUGAUAUGCAUCCUUUAAAUUUGUAAGAGGUCCUUGAGGUGUGGUGCAAUGCUGAUGUUGUAUGCUUUGACGUGGAUAGUACAGUAUGCCUAGAUGAGGGCAUUGAUGAACUUGUUGAGUUUUGCGGUGCUGGAAAGGCUGUUGCAGAAUGGACUGCUAGGUGAUAUGCCUUCGAUAGACAUUUUUUUAGAUGUGCAUAGAAUUGAGUGUUUGAUCUGAUUAUGUGCUCAUCACUAGGGCAAUGAGUGGAUCUAUUCCUUUUGAGGAUGCCUUGGCUGCAAGAUUGUCUCUGUUUAAUCCUUCAAUAGCACAAGUCCAAGAUUUCCUUGAAAAGAGACCUCCAAGGUAAGAAACUGUAUUCAGUAGUGAGAAAUUUAUGCUAGAAUUGCUACAGUUCUUUUGACAGUUAAUGAGGCCUAUAUACAUCAUCUACUAUUUUUAACAAUUCAAUGUAAGCUCCAUAUGCUUUGGACAUCAUCACGUGUGGAGAAGUGAAAUACAGACAUAAACCUCCAAAAAAAAGACACUCUGCUUGUUUUAUCUCUCAAUCUUGUGCACAGUCAAUCAGUUUUUAUCAUUAUUGCAGUGCAAUUUUCAAAACUAAAAUGGUGAAAUUUAGUUGUGAAUGACUUGACUACAACCAUGUAAAGUUGCACCUUGUAGUUGUUUCAAUUUGGAUUACGAUUAUGAGUUACACAUAUCUUUGGCAUGCAAAAUUUGCAUUUUAACAAGAUCUAGUAUUAGGAUGUCCAUAUCAGACCUUUCAGAAUGCCUGCCAUCUUGAAGGUGUGCUCUUCUGAUUGCACACAAAACCCUGAUUCAAGUGAAAUAAUUAAGAAACAAUUAGUUUUAUGCAACUACUCUAUUUGGACAAUGCAUGAUCAUAUUUUACUGUCUUUUGAGUGUUUGCAUCUGACGUUGCUUUGUAUAUAAUAUACAGUAUGUAUUGUUAUAUAGCAUGGAACUUUACACGAAACUAAACCAUUUAGUGUUUUUCAAGCCAUAGUUGAUCUGUAUUUUCCAAGUAAUGAAAAUGUCUGGGUUAAUUGAUUUACUUGGUUUGCAAAAUUUCUCAUGGGAUUAAUGAGUUAGUCAAGAAGAUGAAGGCUAGAAACACUGAUGUUUAUCUGAUCUCUGGAGGAUUUCGCCAAAUGAUCAAUGUAUAUGUGUUGACCUUGGUUGAUCAGUCCUUGGUUUUGAUGAUUAACAAACCAAAAUGUAGAUUUGGGCUAAUGUUUUUAUGUGAGCAAUUUGUUAGAACAGAUUCUUGUGGCACAAAAGAAGAAGCAAAAACAGGGCACUCAUGUGGGACGUCCGAAAGGAAGCUAUCGGACGUCCGAAAGGAUGAAGAACCACGCAUCGGACGCACAUCGAUCGCAUCGGACGUCCGAGAAAUUUCGCAAAGAUUUGAUGACUCUCUGACGACGUUCGGACGCAGGGUUCGGACGUCCGACAGGUGGUUUGGACGCAGGGUUCGGACAUCCGACAGGCCAACGGCUAGUUUUGACAGCAUUUAAUAUUUGACCGUUGGAGAGCCUUUUGGAGCCAUUUCUCACCUUCUAUAAACACCCCAAAGCACAAGAAGACACAAGACUUUUGCCAACACAAAAUACAAGCUUACAAGUGAGAUUUUUGAGUAGAAAGAUUCUUUGUUGGUUGUAUAAGGGGUUGGGGAAGUUGGGUUGUGAGGUUGCUCAAGUGAAGGUUACUCUCUAGGAGGAGUAAAACCUUGGUGAAGGUGAACCUAUCACUUGAAGUGGUAAAACCUUGGUGAAGGUUGCCUCAUUUGUAUAAAAUAGUUCUAAAUUGGGUGUGUGAUCUUUCAAGUGUAGGUUGUUGAGGGUUAACUAGAAUAGUUGUAAAACUCCUUGGCUCAACCAAAGUGUGUUUGGGGUGAGGAAGGAGUGAGCCUUCACUUGUACAUCUUGGUUAGCAUCGCCAUCAAUUGAAGAGGCUAUUGGUUUGAUAUUUGGUUUGCAUUUCUUAUCUUUUCUCUUUAAUUAAGUUUUCUUUAUUGUGCUUAAAUUUGAUAUAUCUUUGUGCAUCAUUGUGAAUUUGUUUGUACUCAUUGGGUUGCACCGGGCACUUACAAUUGGUAUCAGAGCUUGGUCUCCUUGAGACUAAGCUCAAUCGGCUUGGAGUAAAGAUCAUGGCAACCAUAAAAGUUUCCUUUUUAGAAGGGCAAUCUAUUGAUAGACCACCUAUGUUUAAUGGUUCUCAUUUUAGCAUGUGGAAACAAAGAAUGAUGAUUUUCUUACAAUCCGUUUAUAUUGAAUUAUGGUAUGUGGUAGAAGAUGGUCCUUAUGAAGCUAGAAUAGUUGACUCUACCGCCAAUUUGAGUAGAUUAAAGACUAGACAAGAAUUGAAUGAAAAAGACAAGAGAUACCUUUCUUUGAAUGCCAAGGCCAUGUGUAUAUUGUACAAUGCAUUAGAUGUAAAUGAAUCUAGUAGGAUUAAAGGUUGUAAAUCAGCUAAAGAUAUUUGGGAUAAAUUGUGUGUAUUUCAUGAAGGUAACCAAGAUAUUAAAGAACAAAAGAAAUCUUUACUUGUUUCUCAAUAUGAAUUUUUCAAAAUGCAUCCUCUUGAAAAUGUUGAUAAGAUGUGUAGUAGAUUUUGUGACAUUAUUGAAGAUCUUAAAUUGCUUGGAAAAGAAUAUUCUUUGGGUGAGAAAAAUAGAAAGAUUUUGAAUGCCUUGCCAAAAGAAUGGGAAAACAAAAUAAAUGCUAUAGAAGAGGCAAAGGAUUUAAAUUUUAUGUCCAUUGAAUCUCUUGUGGAUACCCUAACCUCUUAUGAAUUAAAGCUGAAAUUCAAAGUGCAAGAGGAAGAAAAUGCAAGAAUGUAUAAGAGAGGCAUAGCUUUUAAAGCAUCUCAAGUGGGGGAUAACCCAUCCUUCAUGGGUAAUGAAAUCAUGAAAAUGGACAAUGAUAUAACUCCUCACAUCAAAAGUUUCAAGAAGAUUUUCAACAAGAGAUGUUCAAGAGGAGAUUGCAAAAUUACAUGGGAUGAAUGCAAUUCAAAAAGAGAAAAAGAAGAGUUGGCCCAAAUGGCACUAAUGGCCGUUGGAGAAGAUGAGGUAAGUUCUUAUCACUCUUCUUGUGAUGAAGAUAAUGAAAAUGAUGAUGUGAAAAUUCUUAUGAUUAAAAUGCAUAAAAGUUUGAGAAAAUCUUAUGCUAAAAAUAAAGAUUUGAAAACAAAAAUAAAUGAUUUGUUGGAAGAAAACUCCAAACUUUUUCAAGAAAACAAAUGUUUGAGAAUGGAAAAUGAUGAUUUAAAAAAUCAAAAAAGUGUUUUUGAUUGCAAAAAUAAUUUGAAAAGGAAGUUGGAAGAGAAAACAAAGUUUUAUGAAAAAAUGUUGGAGGACCAAAAUGUGUUAAAGAAAAGAAUUAAUGACUUGAACGAGUUUCUCCAAAAUGAAAAACAAACGUUUUCUCAAACAAAAGAAAGCAAAUCUUUUCAAGGUACAAAUAAGUUUGCUAUGAUAAGAAGUAAGAAAAUUAGUUGCAUUAAAUCCACCUAUGUGCAAAAUACUUCUAUCAUGUGUCACUUUUGUUGCCAAUUUGGACAUAUGCAAAAUGAUUGUUAUGUAAAGAAAAAUAUGAGAAAAGGUAUGAAAUCCAUGUGGAUUGCUAGAUCAUGUUGUACUAACUCCCAAGAACCCUAUAAAAAAUUACAAUUGGUAUCAUGAAAGUUUUGUCAUUCUAUAUGGUCUUGAUUUGGAAAAUAAAGGGGGAGUUUGCUUUUUGAUUGAUGUCAAAAGGGGGAGUAGGAUUAAUUGAAAUUUCUUUGUAUGUUGGCAUUUUCUAAGGGGGAGUUUUAUUUGAACUUAUUUGAUCAAAGAAAUCUUCAUUUUGUUUGUCAUCAUCAAAAAGGGGGAGAUUGUUGACCUUGGUCGAUCAAUCCUUGGUUUUGAUGAUUAACAAACUAAAAUGUAGAUUUGGGCUAAUGUUUUUAUGUGAGCAAUUUGUUAGAACAGAUUCUUGUGGCACAAAAGAAGAAGCAAAAACAGGGCACUCAUGUGGGACGUUCGAAAGGAAGCUAUCGGACGUCCGAAAGGAUGAAGAACCACGCAUCGGACGCACAUCGAUCGCAUCGGACGUCCGAGAAAUUUCGCAAAGAUUUGAUGACUCUCUGACGACGUUCGGACGCAGGGUUCGGACGUCCGACAGGUGGUUUGGACGCAGGGUUCGGACGUCCGACAGGUGGUUCGGACGUCCGACAGGCCAACGGCUAGUUUUGACAGCAUUUAAUAUUUGACCAUUAGAGAGCCUUUUGAAGCCAUUUCUCACCUUCUAUAAAUACCCCAAAGCACAAGAAGACAAAAGACUUUUGCCAACACAAAAUACAAGCUUACAAGUGAGAUUUUUGAGUAGAAAGAUUCUUUGUUGGUUGUAUAAGGGGUUGGGAAAGUUGGGUUGUGAGGUUGCUCAAGUGAAGGUUACUCUCUAGGUGGAGUAAAACCUUGGUGAAGGUGAACCUAUCACUUGAAGUGGUAAAACCUUGGUGAAGGUUGCCUCAUUUGUAUAAAAUAGUUCUAAAUUGGGUGUGUGAUCUUUCAAGUGUAGGUUGUUGAGGGUUAACUAGAAUAGUUGUAAAACUCCUUGGGUCAACCAAAGUGUGUUUGGGGUGAGGAAGGAGUGAGCCUUCACUUGUACAUCUUGGUUAGCAUCGCCAUCAAUUGAAGAGGCUAUUGGUUUGAUAUUUGGUUUGCAUUUCUUAUCUUUUCUCUUUAAUUAAGUUUUCUUUAUUGUGCUUAAAUUUGAUAUAUCUUUGUGCAUCAUUGUGAAUUUGUUUGUACUCAUUGGGUUGCACCGGGCACUUACAAUAUGCUUCUCUCUGAGUGGCUUUUGAUAUAUCUUUUCUUCUUCAUAUCCAGAUAACAAUUGAGGCUGGGAGUCCUUGGAUCAAUUUGCCAUUGUGUCAAGAUGCCCAUUAGCAUACUAUAGUCAUUAUUGAUGUUGGUUGAAAUAUUCUCUGAAUUGAUGGUUUAAAUAUUGGCUAAAAAAUUGAGGUUCAGUAACCUGAUUUUUAUGCUGCACUGCUUCCAAGUUGAUACUUUUCCUGCAUCAAUAUUACCUGUUUUAACAGUUCCUUGCUUUGAAUCCCUAAAAGAAUCACACAUGUUUCAUAUGGAAGCAUACUUUGUGCUUGAAACUGUGUCAAAGUUCUAACUACUACAGUUUAACAGCCUGUUGCAUCAAUUCUUGGUAUUCCCGUUGACCACAUUUUUGCCAAUCAACUUCUUUUCGGAAGUGCUGGAGAGUUUUUGGGGUUUGAUACAGAUGAGCCAACGUCUAGGAGUGGAGGAAAAGCUAUUGCUGUUCAGCAGAUAAGGAAGGUAAGUUGAACUCUUAGUAGUUGUUUGUUGUGUAUUGGUUUUUAGAAUAUUGACCAAAUACUUGAUAAUGUUAUCAGGCUAAUGGAUAUAAAUCGCUGGUCAUGAUUAGAGAUGGUGCAACUGAUCUUGUGGUAAAAAAGUGUUCAUCUUGUCUAGUUUGGUGACCACUUCAUCUACGGAAUACAACCAACCCAAGGAAAAAAAAUCAAGAAGUAAAUCCCAACGAGAGCUUUUUCUACUACAUGUUAACUUGAGUUUAACAUGGUCCAAUAUCUAGAAUCUAAUAACUGACUUAUCUAAAGUUUACAUACAGUAAUAGCAGGACAUAAAGAUUUAGACCUCAAACUUGGUAAAUCCAUGGAGGAAUUGAUUCCAUACAUUGACUUUAAUUGCUUCAAAGUAGACUAUAGUGGCUAUCUUAAAACCUGUUCAAGCUUCAUACAUUAUUAAUAUCAUUCUAAGUUUUGGCCCAAAAAUGCUUCUAAAUUGAAUAAAUGAAGAGCUUUUACUCUCAUGUUGCUCGCAGAAUUUAUACUCUUUCUACUUGUAGGCUCGCAAACCAGGAGGUGCCGACUUAUUCAUAUGCUAUGCUAGGGUUCAGCUUCGAGAAACUGUUGCAGCUAAAGCUGAUUGGCUGGUGUUCAAUUUUAAGGACUUGAUUGAUAGCUUGGAGUAGCAUGCACCCAUUUUUCUUGAUUGAUACCUUUUUUCUGUUUCCUUUUGGGUGGUGGUUCUCUUUCUUUACCUUUACUAUUAUUGAUUUUUUGGGGGUACUAGAGUUCUAUGGGUUAUAACUACCAUGCUUCCAAAAAUCUUCUGCAUCAGUUUAUGUAUUCUUUGACUAACAUUUUAUGUAUGUAAUUUGUGAAAAUGACAGUCCUCAGGCACUUGCCUUCAAUAAGCAACUUGAAAGCCUUGUUGAUGUCACCAAGUUUGACCUCAUGAGUGACAAACAAAUCCAGCCGAAGUUCACGGAUGUGUGUUCAAGGAUUUAAGCAAAAUCUGGGAGAGAUUCAUGUCUUUGAUGCUUGUCAUUUUGGAACAGGUGAAAAACAACAAUGUGGUAAAAGCCUUGCAAAUCUACAGUACAUUAUCCAGGUAACGUUUUGGAAGCAUUGGGAAUCAAGAUUAGGCUUGAGACCACCCUAUUGGACUCCUGUGACGGUUUUCCCGCUAUGAGCGAUCACCAGGUAAUUGAGGAUCAGCUGCGAAUCAGGCUUCACUCUUAAUACAACCGUCUUGCCCAUUCCUGAUGAUAGAUUGUACAUAGAAUCUCAUUUAGUAGCAGCUAACAGCAAUGAAAUAACUGAAAAACUCGAACUAGCUUAGUACUGGUAGUCAAAUCACAAAUGUUUAAACCAUGAAAGCAUACUCUUUAAUCGCAAAAGAUAGUGGACCUAUGUUAGCUGAUUAAGAAUACUGUUAUAGUACUUAAAUCAUCAAAUCAUUAUAUUACCAUAUUCUCUCCUUCUUUAAUUCUAAUAUAAAUCUUCCAAGUGUUACUUUGGCUGAUAGAUCAAGUGCCUUGAUUGUGGUUUCUGGUGUAACUAUUCCUACAACCUCUAUCUCUUUAUCCCUGGUCUUACACUUGCCUAAUUAUUCUUUUAAUCAACUCUUAGUUAAAAUUACAAGAGCUCUUAAGUGCUUUGUCUCAUCCUUCUCUGAAUAUUGUAUUUUUUAGGAUCGGAAAGCUUUGGUAGAAUAUGUGAGUUUGGUAGACUUUAUACACUUGAAACUUUGAAAAUGCCAAAACCUGUUACAUGUUUGUUCAUCAUGACACCUCUUGAAGUUUAUUGUCAUUUGGGUGAUCUAUCUCUACCAAAUUUGAAGAAAUUGUUUUCAAAUUUUCAAGAUUUAUAGAGUGAGAUACGUCAAUUUGUGAAGCAUCUCUGUUUGCCUUAUUUGCCUAGGGUCAAUAAAUAGGCUGCAUACCCUUUUGAAUUAGUGAACUCUAAUAUUGGGGAUGAUUGUUCAAUAAUAUCUAACUCUAAUUUUAAAUAUUUUGUCACUUUUAUUGAUAAUUACUCUAGUAUUACUUGAUUAUAUGUCAUGAAAAUUCAUUUAGAUUUAUCCAAUGUUUGUUGUUCCGUACUGAUAUAAAAACACAAUUUAAUAUGUCUAUGAGCAUUUAGCAAGGUGAUAAUAAAAGAAUACUUUUAUAAGCUUUUUAACCUAUAUACGUAAAAAAAUGGAAUUCUGAACCAAUAUUCAUGUCCUGAUAUAACACCAUAAGAUGGUGUUAUUAAAAAUAAAUAGGCAAUUACUAAAAGUUGCUAGAGCCAAGUUAUUUCACCUAAGCGUUCCUAACUAGAUUUGGGCAGAUGCUAUUUGACCAACUUGCUUUUUAAUUAAUUUCAUGAAUCUGUACUUGCUAGUGAGAUAUCGUAUUCAGUUUUGCUUCCACCUAAACGUUCCUAACUAGAUUUGGGCAUAUGCUAUUUCACCAACUUACUUUUUAAUUAAUUUCAUGAAUCUGUACUUGUUAUUGAGAGAUAUCGUAUUCAGUUUUGCUUCGAACAUAAUCUUUGUUCCCUUCUGAGUCGUGUAUAUUUUGAUGUCCUUGUUUUGUUCAUGACAUCCAUCCCAAGCGUCUAAAUUAAUUGAAUGUACUACUUGUUUUGUUCAUGACAUCCGUCCCCACAGGCGUCUUAAUUAAAUCCAAAUUCUCUAGUAUUCUUAUACUAGUGUGAAUAACCAUGCUACCAUGGUGCUGAUUAGGGGUGGAAACGAACUGAAUCGAAUUGAGUUUUGGCCUAAUUGAGUUGAAUCUGAACCUAGGUUUAUGAAGCUCAAACUCAAGUUCGACCUUGACGAGCUCAAAAUGUAAAACUUGAGCUCGAACUCGACUCGAAUUGAGUUCGAGCUUGAGCUUAAAAAAUAAAAAAAAAUUUAUUUUAUUUUUAAAAAAUAAAUAAAAUAAUAAUUUUUCUUAACAAAUAAUAAAAUAUUAGGAAUAUAUAUGUAAUUUUACUAUUAAAAUAAUAUAUAUAAAUAUAUAUAUAUAUAUAGUCGAGCUUGAGUCGACUUGUGAGUUAACGAAUUUAGUAUUUUUAAAUUCGAGUUCAAAUUUGACUUGGUCAACUCGAACUCGACUCAAGCUCGAAUUUGAAUCACUCGUGAUCGAUUUGAUUCGUUUUGCAGCUCUAGUGCUAACGUUAUUGAAAGAAAUAAAAAGAGAGGGUGGAUUAAAAAAAAGUACAAUUAAUCAAAAUCUAAGAUUUGUCUAACAUUAGUUUAAAGUAUGAUAAAAUGUAUAUAUCAUUCAAGAACUGUAUUUGCGAAAGAUGGAUCUUGAAAUAAUAAUAGAAAAUAAACGAUAUAUGGAUAGAAAUGAAUGUAAUCCCAUGUUUUAUUGAUUUCAAAAUGAAAUACUUAUAAACAUUAUGCAUUCGAUUUGAUAAUCUUGUAUAAAAGUGUAAACAUUUUUCACACCAAUCAACUUUUAGUUUGAAGUCCAACAUUGAUGGUUUAAUUGACACUGUUGAAAUUUUGUGGAGUUCAUACUACAAAAUAAUGUUCAUUGUGACUUGUUUUUUUUUUUUUGAAGUGAACUUGCUAAACCUUUUGAAGUAUUUCAGUGGGAUCACUAUGGUGUAUACUUCGUUUUGUAAUCAGUUGUUUUCCCCUUUGUAAUCUUGCAAGUUUGGAGUGCCGUUGAAAUUCUUGUAGAUGGAAUUCAUCAAUGGUGAAAGUAAGAUACAUAGUCUUUUUUUUUUGUUCUCAAUGUAUUUAGUUUGUGUAGAUGACAAAUAAAAAUGGGUUAGUGGUCGUCAGUCUUGUGAAUAAUUAUGAGAAUAAAUUACGUUAUGAUAAUAAGAUGCGUAAAAUUAUGAAAAUUAUAGGGAUUGUAAUUCAAACGGGCUCCUAAAUUUUGGAUAUAUGAUUUUCAUAGUGGUGAGUUUUUUAAAUUAUCAAUUAGCUAUUAUUAUUAGUCGUGUGUGUGGUGUCAGAUGUGAUUUGGAAUUUGAAGAUGUGAUUUUACAGGGUGAUUAUUAUCCGUUAAUUUGCGUGGGUGAUUAUUAUCCUUUAUCUAAAAUUUAGGAGUUUUGAUUUUGUGGGUUAGUGGAUCAUUAGUUAAUUAAAAUUUUGGAGUUUUAAUUUUGUGGAUUAAUGGGUCGCGUGAAUUGGAAAGUGAGAAGUGAUAAGGAGAAGCAAUAAGGAUUAUUGAAUCAAAAUAAAUCUAAAAUUAUAGUAAAAAGGGAAUUCAAAUUUUUGACGCUUGUGGAGGCUCCUCGUAAAAAACCUGCUUUCUAAUACAUAUAAACUAGUGUGAUUAUCCAUACUACGCACGGUGCUGACAUUAUUGAAAGAAAUUGAAAGAGAGGGUGAAUUAAAAAAAGUAAAAAAAUUCUAACAACAUAAUCAAAAUCUAAGAUUUGUAUAACAAUAGUUCAAAAUAUGAUAAAAUGUGUACAUCAUUUAAGAACUGCAUUUUGUAGAAGAUAGAUCUUGAAAUAAUAAUGGAAAAUUAUAUUAUAAAUUGAAUGUAUAUGGAUAGAAAUAAAUGUAGUCGUAUGUUUUAUUUGAUUUCAAAAUAAAAUAUUUAUAAACGUCAUGCAUUCGAUUUAUUAAUCUUAUACGAAGGUGCGAAUAUUUUUCACACCAAUCAACCUUUAGUACGAAAUUCAAUAUUGGUGGUUUAAUUGACACUGUUGAAUUUUUGUGGAAUUCAUACUACAAAAGAAUGUUCAAUGAGAUUUGUUUUUUUUGGAAAUGAACUUGCUGAACCUAAUUUUGAAAUAUUUCAGUGAGGUUACUAUAAUGUAGGUUUUGUUUUAUGAUUAGCUGUUUUCUCCUUUGCCUUGCAAAUUUGAAAUUGAGGCACAGUUGAAAUGCUUGUAAGUAGGAUGAUACGUAGUCUUUUUUCUUUUCUCUCACUAUAUUUGGUUUGUGUGGAUGACAAAUGAAAAUGGAUUAAUAUUGGUAAUUUAAUUGACUAUGUUGAAUUUUGUGAAAAUCAUACUACAAAAGAAUGUUUAGUCAGAUUUGUUUUUCUGAUGCAUGUGGAGGCUCCUUGUAAGAAACCUGCCUUCAAAUAUAUAUAUAUAUAUAGAUAAGGGCUUUCGGGUUACUCGCGCACGCUCCGCUUGCUAGUGCUAGACCGACCCAAAAGCGGAGAUCGCCGAGGACGCCUCAUCAUUUAUUUCUUCAUUUUUUCUGGUCAGAAAAAACCCAAUUGAAUCCCUAGACUUAUUAUUCCUUGAAUUCUCAGAACCGGAGAUCGCCGAGGAAGCCUCAUUAUUUAUCUUCUUCAUUUUUUUCUGGUCAGAAAAUUCCCAAUUGAUGCCCCCAGACUAUUAUUCUUUGAAUUCUAUUUUUUUUUCAAUUUUUAGAUUUAUCAUAUUCAUCUCUUUUCCCCAACAGCCAUCAAUUCGACCUGGUCCAUUCUUUUUCCCACCCAAUCUUUUAGCCAUUUAAACUCUAAAGACUUUUUCCCAAAAAUUCUCUCUUAGCUUCAGAUUUUUAGAAACCCGGCUCCCAUCCAAAAAACAAGAGACAAAACCGAAAGAAAAAUUUCACCCGGAUCAUUAGCCAUUUAAACUGUCAAAACAUUUUCCUAAAAAUUCUCUCUUAACUUCACAGAUUUUUAGAAACCGGAUCC
rnacentral:lncRNA from 1 species